GAAUCCUCAAUUCCCACAUAGUUUUGCAGUGACCUGGGAACCGGAGGGACCUCGACAUCCAUGACACCCUCUAGCAUGCGAACAACUUGCCCCAUCAUUGGCCUGUGGUCUUCAGCAUCCUGAAUGCACCAACAGGCGACUCUACAGGUUCUGUUCAGCUGCCCCACUUCAGCGUUGCCCUCCAGACUACUGUCCAACAGGCACAUAACAUCACCUUCAUUCACCUUAACUGCAGCAUAUAUUGGAAAGUAAGUAAACUUUCCUUCCUUAAUCUUCUCCGAAUUUCUUCGCCCUGCAAUGAUUUCUAGAAGCACCAUUCCGUAGCUGUAAACAUCAGCCUUAUGUGUGAUUGGUAGCCCUGAGAUCCACUCCGGUGCAAGGUAUCCGAUGGUCCCUCGCAUUGUUGUCAGUGCCCUGCUGAAAUCUCGACAAAGAAGCUUUGCCAUGCCAAAAUCUGCAAUUUUGGGACAGAGUUCUGCGUCAAGAAGUAUAUUAUCUGGCUUCAUGUCACAGUGUACAAUACAGUCCCUGCAUCCCUCGUGCAGAUAAGCCAGGCCUCCUGCAAUUCCAAGAGCAAUCGAGUACCGCAGCUCCCAGCUUAACUUAGAGGAUCUCUUGGAAAACAGGUGGUUACUCAAAGAACCAUUUGCCAUAUAUUCAUACACCAGGAACCUUCUACUGUCUUCAGCGCAAAACCCAAGCAGACGGACAAUAUUGAUGUGCUGAAUCAUACCUAUGGUCUGCACCUCUGCUCGAAAUUGCUUGUCUUCCUGUCUAAGGCCUUUUAGCUUCUUCACAGCCACAGCAGUGCAACCUGGCAGCAUCCCUUUAAAAACGCAGCCAAAGCCUCCUUCUCCAAGUUUUUCAGAGAAAUUUUUGGUACAGUUCUUGAUCUGUACAAACGAGAAUACCACAAGGCUUCCAUUGUCAACCACCGUUCUAGCCCUGAAAAGCUUUCUUCUGCAUCUCCACAAGAGAAUCAGACCAAUAACAACAAGGGCUAGCAUCGAUCCAAAAACUAGUCUUUUCCAGAAAGAAACUAGAGGAACAGUCCUAGGACCUGAUUGUUGUUUGGUUGCUAUACGUAUGUACAUAUGGUUGCCAUUUGGACCAGAGUCAAGCACUAAUGUAUUCCGCAGGUCCGAAAACCACAGCAAGCAACUUGUAUUGUAAGCAAAGGCAGAACAAGUACAGUCCCUUAAGCAAGAGGAUUCACACUCACUCAUGUCUGAAACGUUCAGCAUGAAAGCAUGCUGAGGAUAUCUAUGAAUGCCAUGUAUUGGAUAAAAUGUCACUUCUGGACGUGCAACAAUGCUUUUUUCACAAUUCAGAGGUUCCUUUCUUGAACAACCUGCAAUAUUCCAUUCUUGGGUAUAUGGUGGAUCAAAACCAACAGGGCAUAUACAAGAGCCCGACCUUGUGCAGAGACCGUAAGGUCCACAAUAUGAGUCAUAGUCGCAUAAUGUAUCUGGAGCGGACCAUAAUACAGUAUCGCAUUCCCCUUGUUUAUAAAAUGUCACAAAUCCAGAGCUAUUUAAUUGUAUGUAAGUACGUGCAUCAUUGAAUGUUAGCGCAUAGUGUCCAUCUUCACGAAUAUCCAUCCAUCUAGGAAAAGUACCAGUAAACAUAAGACCAUCAUAAGUACGCUGGAUAAUAAAACCUCGCCUCCUAGUUGCAUCCAGUGACAGAGUAUAUUCGGCAAAAACAUAAUCAGAAUAACUGUAAAGGGUGAUGUUCAUGCAGGUGAUUUUACUUAAUCCCAGGAGUCCUCCAGAGAGCAGUACAUUCGUCGGGCUAUCAAAACUCUGCCAAAUCACCAUGGAAUUGUUUGCUUGGUCUCUUAUUACAAGAUUUCCGUUGUCAAGAAGCACUGCAGCAGCGUUCACAGAAGUAUUCCACAUGUUGGAUGAGUACCAAUAGUCGCCAUAGGAUGCGGUUAGAUUUAGCACGCCAUUCUCUGUGAGUGAGAGGGUAGUACCUUCACAAGCAUACUGCCCAGGUUGCCAAACAGGAAAAUAUUCACGAUUACAAGAUGAUGGUUUAGCAAACCAGAUACCCAAACCGCAACAUGAAUUAUAAUCAUCUUCAUGAACGGAGCAGGCAAAACCCAACUUGAAGGCACCGUUUUUUGAGACGAGGCUGUGGUUUGCAUCUAGGAAUUGUCCUGGAAGGAGGGUGUCUGAUGCGUAUGCGAAUUUGCAGCAGGAAUAUACAAGGUUGAUCAAGGGUGGAAAUAGUAAAACGAAGGAAGAUGAGAACAAGGACCUCCAGUUGUUUGCCUUCACCAUUUCAGGGUAUCUCUACUUCAUGCCACUUUGGUAGUGCUCUCAACCCGCUCCAACAGCUCUAGAUCCUGCUCCUCGUCGAUCCGCGCCUCAAACAUACAGCGCCCUCCUCGGCUCCUCGACUCGGACCGCGCACUUCGCCGCCGUGGACCGCAGACACCCGCAAGCGCUGUUUGGCUCACUAGUGUUAAAGUUUAACACCUGUCACAUCGGAUGUUUGAAUGCUAAUUAGGAGUAUUAAAUAUAGACUAAUUACAAAACUAAUUGCACAGAUGAAGUGUAAUUCGCGAUACGAAUCUAUUAAGCCUAAUUAGUACAUGAUUUGACAAUGUGGUGCUACAGUAACCAUUUGCUAAUGAUGGAUUAAUUAGGCUUAAUAGAUUCGUCUCGUGAAUUAGCAUAGGGUUCUGCAAUUAGUUUUAUAAUUAGCUCAUAUUUAGUUCUCCUAAUUAGCAUCCGAACAUUCGAUGUGACACUGUUAAAGUUUAACACCUCGUAUCCAAACACCCCCUUAGUGGGACGAUGCGGCCUAGAUAUAUGGAAACCAGGAAGAGAUCUGGUCAACAGUCGAGACUCAAGAGUACCCGUCGCCAGCGUCUACUUUCUCAGGUCCAACCUGGUAGGCACCAGUGCAUAUGGAUCCUAUCGUGACACGACAUUCUUCGGGGACGAAUCGGGGUCCACGUUUAGUAGAAGAAUCUUAGGUGUUUGGAUCUGUAGACUAAUUUUUAGUUCAGAUUACAUCGUAUGUUUAGUACACUCAGCUCAUCUCAAUCUGCUCCACACCGCUUAUUCAUCUUGUUCUUAGCUUGUGUCGCCCUGUGCAGUUGUGCAAUGAUUUUUUCCAUGCCGUUUUCGUUCCCGUACAAGUGACGCUCGCCAAUGGAGGCGGCGAAGCGCGUCUGCUCGCUAUCCCGUCCCCGCGAGCCCGCGCCGCCCACCUUCCUCCUUGUCCUGCUUGGUGGCGCAUUCUUGGCCCUCGCUGCCUUCGCCGGCGACACCAUCGUCCCCGGCGAGGGCAUCUCCGGGAACCAGACGCUGGUUUCCAAGAACGGCGAGUUCGAGCUGGGCUUCUUCGCCCCGGGCGCCGGCAUCCAACGCUUCCUGGGCGUUCGAUUCAAGAAGAUGCCGAGCACCAGCCCCACGUUCUGGGUCGGGAACAGGGUCCCGAUCACCGACCUCUCCGCCGCGGCGCUGGAGGUCUUCGGCGGCAGCCUGUGCAUCAAGGAGGCCGGGGCUAGCCUCUGGUGUUCGAGCGUGGCGGCGGACGGGCCCCCGCCGCCCGCCGCCGCCGCGGUGCUCCUUGACACCGGCAACCUUGUGGUGAGGGAUCGGGCGAACUCCUCCCGGAUCUUGUGGCAGAGCUUCGAUUGCCCCGGCGACUCGCUGCUACCCGGCGCGAGGCUCGGGUUGGACAGGGACACCGGGAGCAACGUCUCCAUGACGUACAUGGAUUACCCGCACGAUGGCAGCAUCAGCGUCGAUCAGAGCAGGAGGAACGGGUUCGUGCUCACCACCGAUGGGCUCGAUAGUCUGGGGACCUUCCCGGAUUGGAUGGUGACAUCUCAAGAUAAUGGCAGAUCACUGGUGCUGAAUCGUCCAGGACCAAACGUGACCGAAUUCUUGCAGUUCCAUCUGGGACAAGUCAGCUUGAUGCGGUGGUCAGAGGAUUCUGCAGCAGCAAAUGGCAGUGGUUGGGUGGCUCGUUGGACCUUCCCUUCAGAUUGCAAAUCCAGCGGCUUCUUCUGUGGUAAUUUUGGUGCUUGCAAGAGCAAUGGCAGAUGCAAUUGCCUCGAUGGAUUUGAGCCUUCAUAUCCAGUUGAGUGGGGGCUUGGAUACUUUGUCACCGGUUGCUCGAGAUCUCUUCCACUGAGCUGCGAGGCGAAUGGUCGGACUGAACAAGAUGACUCGUUUAUCCUGAUGGACAAGCUGCAGGGGCUCCCCUAUAACCCUCAGAAUGAUUUAGCAGAAAGUGAUGGGGAUUGUAAACAAGCCUGCUUCAGCAAAUGUUACUGUGUUGCGUAUGUUUAUGACUCCGGAUGCAAGCUAUGGUACGAUAAGCUGUACAACGUGAGUUUUGCUUCUAGACCUCCAUACAGCAAGGUUUAUGUUCGUUGGGGUUCCAAGCUCCGGGCCAAAAAUGGUCUCCUCAAAAGAGCAAUUUUAUUGCCUGUGGCAGGAUUUAUAGCAUUGGCUUCUGUGAUAUUGAUACUGGCACUUCUAUGGAGAUACAGGAGAGAUUUAUUUACUUGCAGAAAGUUUGAAGUAGAGGGUUCUCUUGUUUUCUACUCUUAUGGGCAAAUCAAGAAAGCUACAAGGAAUUUCGCUGAUAAACUUGGCGAGGGAGGUUUUGGUAUUGUUUUCAGGGGAACAAUGCCAGGACCAGGAUCAACCGUUGUUGCUGUGAAGAGUCUCAAUGGCCGCGGGCACGCAGAUAAGCAAUUCAGAGCAGAAGUGCAGACAGUCGGAGUGAUCAAACACACUAAUCUUGUCCGUCUUCUCGGAUUUUGUGUUAAAGGGGACAUGAGAUUGCUGGUCUAUGAGUAUAUGCCUAAUGGUUCUUUGGAUUCACACCUCUUUUCGGAACGAUCUAGUUUUCUGAAUUGGGAUCUUCGCUACCAAAUUGCACUAGGUAUUGCCAAGGGCCUAGCCUAUCUUCAUGAAGGGUGUGAGGACUGCAUCAUACAUUGUGAUAUCAAACCUGAAAACAUACUACUUGAUGAGGAAUUCUGCGCUAAAAUCUCAGAUUUUGGCAUGGCCAAGCUUCUUGGACGUGAAUUCAACUCUGCAUUGACCACCAUCCGAGGAACCAUGGGAUACCUAGCGCCAGAGUGGAUAUCUGGACAGCCUAUCACUAAAAAGACAGAUGUUUAUAGCUUCGGUAUUGUGCUUCUCGAAAUAGUUUCAGGGAGAAGGACUACAAAGAGAUUGAAAUCCGGAAGUCAUCGAUAUUUUCCUCUUUAUGCAGCUGCUCAAGUGAAUGAAGGAAAUGUGUUGUGCUUACUGGAUAGUAGGUUGGAAGGGAAUGCUAAUGUCAAGGAGCUUGACAUCACCUGCAGAGUUGCCUGUUGGUGUAUCCAGGACGAGGAGAACGACAGGCCAUCAAUGGGGCAAGUUGUUCGCAUGUUGGAAGGCGUCGUGAACACUGAAAUUCCUCCAAUUCCAUCUUCCUUUCAGAACCUUAUGGAGGGCGAGAACAGCUGUAUAUAUUCUGACGAAGGAUAAAGUUUUAGUUAGAGUGGGGAUAAUGUGUAGGGUGCAUUCAAGGCAAACAACACACAUGCUCCAAGCUUACUUCAAGUUUAAUCGUUUUUCUGUUGCUAGAGCAGUAAACUAAUUUCUUUCUUGACCUACUAGAUAUUGAUAGCAUAUCCGUCCAGCUCAUUAUGAAUCAGUUUGUAGGGAUUGUAUGUCUAUACCAGGAAAUGCAAUGGGAAGCUGGAAAUUCUUGUCCUGCUGUCACUUGUCACCCUGCUAUAGUAUUAUUCAGAAGUGCGGAUAAUCCAAAUGUAAAUGAGAGGCGUGAUUCUAUGAGUUAAGGUAAUUAUAGAACGUUAUCGUGCAAUUAGGCCAGCAUCAUGGAAAACUCAAUAUUGUCAACAGUACUGCUUUAGAUUCGAACAGCAAUAUUGGCCAUAUCAUUAUCUGCACGGGGUUGGAUACAGGGAUUCCAUGUAUGUCCCCAAAGUAAUCUAUAUGCCAAUGCUCAUCUGGUAACAAUAUUCAGUUUCAGUAUCAGGUUUUUGCCCUUUUGUCAGAGAAACUGUUUGCAUGGGCAGCCACUAUGGGAACUCGGUUAUUUAUGCCUGUAAGUGAUGAUCGGGUUCGAUCGCAAUGAAAUGUGAAACACGUGCCUUCGGAACUUGUGCUUGUGGCAGUGUCUUCUUUUGCAUGGGCAGCUAAUGUGUUGUGAUUUGUGAACCAUGCUCCAAGAGUUCGUAAAAAAAGAGAGGUUUAGAUGGCAUCGAUAGAAGUUUAAAGGGAAAAUUGGUUUUUCACAACAUCGGCAGAUCCCAAUUUUUCAAGUUUAAGUUUUACGAUAUUCAGUUUUGUUGGGUUAACUAGGUCCUUCUUUUUCGAAUGUUACUCAUUAUGUUUUCAAAAUCAACCGGACGCCUGAUUUUGCUCUAGUUAAGGUAGACAACCUAGGGAGUUAAUUUCAAACGCAAAAGCAUGCAAACGGCCUAUGAGAAUGAAGCUCAUAAGCUGGUGAUUCAAAACCAUAGUUUACAUUACCACGUUGACCUUAUUCCUAGUAGGGUUAUCUAGCUGAGAUAUUACUAAUUACACCCUCCGUUCUAAAUUUGUAGGCAUUUUAGCUUUAUCUAGGUCAAAUUUAUUUAACUUUAAUUAAAAUUAUAAAAAAUACCAACAUGUGCAACAUCAAAUUAGUUUCAUUAAAUCUAUCAUAAAAUAUGUAUUGAUUGUGUAUUUAUUUCGUAAUAUGAAAAUUACCAUAUUUUACUAUAAACUUGAUCAAAGGUGGAGAUUGUGUAUUUAUUUCGUAAUAUGAAAAUUACCAUAUUUUACUAUAAACUUGAUCAAAGCUGGAGAAGUUUGAUCUAGAUAAACCUAGCAUAGCGCAUAAUUAUCCUUAUGGUGGAAUCAUUGGCGAAGCUUGAGCCAAUAGUAGGGGUGCUAAGUAUUCAAUAAAUUAGGCUAAUUAUUUGCAGUGUAAUCAUAUUAGUAUCUUUUAACAUCUUUAACAUCUAUUAAUUUGCAGUGUAAUCAUUGGCGGAGCUUGAGUUUGUAGGCUGUGAUCAACGGCAGCCUCGUGCUCAGAGUCCUUUACUGUAACAGCUCCAUGCCGUGAUGCAGGCCAUGUCGCGAUUAAUAGAUUCGUCUCGCCAUUUAGAUUCCACUUAUGUAAUUGGUUUUGUAAAUAGUCUACGUUUAAUACUCCUAAUUAGUAUCUAAACAUUCGAUAUGACACGUGCUAAAAAUAAGAUAGUGGAAGAAAACGCCCCCCUUAACUUACCACAACAAGCAAGCGAGCUAGCUAUCCAUCCAUCAUCCCAUGCCCGUCUAUAUACGAGAAGAAGCCCAUGGGAAGUGGAAUCCAUCCCGGGUCCGACGAAGAAAAGGGGCAAAAGAAGUGGGUUCAGACAUUCGGUUGCUUGCAUCGAAGGAAUCAUUGCAUGGUCUUUUUGACUGGUUUGUCUUCGUCCAAGUUCUUCGUAUCUGCUCUGUAUUAUUUUUUAAAAAAAAGGCUGCUACUACUUGUUUCUCAACUUGUAAGACUUUUAUAGCUUUCGAACAGUUUGGUCGAUGCCUACCCAAUAAACAUAAAUAAAUAAAUAAAUAGUCACCACAUCUGGUUUGCAGACAUUUUCCAUGUUUUCUGUCCACUGACUUUUCUCCACCAAAUAAUAGUAUAGUUGCUUGCUGGAGCUACCCGCAAGCACGAGUAGCACCUCAAUCUGCUUCACAUCGCUGGUUCAUCUUGUUCUCAGCUUGCGUCGCGUUGUGCAGCUGUACCAGGCCACACAUUGCUGAUUUCUUCCAUGCCUUGUUCGUUCCCCUGCUAGUUAGCAGUGACGCUCGCCAAUGGGGGCGGUGAAGCGCGUCUGCCCGCUGUUCCGGCCUCGCGAGCGCGCUCUGCCCACCUUCCCUCUUUUCCUGCUUGGUUGCGCAUUCUUCGCCGUCGCUGCCUUCGCCGGAGACACCAUCCUCCCCGGCGAGGGCAUCUCCGGGAACGAGACGCUGGUCUCCAAGAAUGGCGAGUUCGAGCUGGGCUUCUUCUCCCCGGGCGACAACAUCCAUUUCUUCCUUGGCGUCCGAUUCAAGAAGAUGCCGAGCACCAGCCCCAACUUCUGGGUCGGGAACAGGGUCCCAAUCACGGACCUUUCCGCCUCGGCGCUCGAGGUCUUCGGCGGCAGCCUGUGCAUCAAGGAGGCCGGGGCUAGCCUCUGGUGUUCGAGUGGGGUCGCGGUCGGCCCCUCGCCGCCCGCCGCCGCCGCGGUGCUCCUUGACAACGGCAACCUCGUGGUGAUGGAUCGGGCCAACUCCUUUCGGAUCUUGUGGCAGAGCCUCGAUUACCCCGGCGACUCGCUGCUACCCGGCGCGAGGCUCGGGUUCGACAGGGACACCGGAAGCAACAUCUCCAUGACGUACGAGCAUUACCCCAACAACGGCAGCAUCAGCGUCGAUCAAAGCAGGAGGAACGGGUUCGUGCUCACCACCGAUGGGCUCGAUAGUCUGGGGACCUUCCCAGAUUGGAUGGUGACAUCUCAAGACAACGGCAGCUCACUGGUGCUGAAUCGUCCAAACCCAAAUGUGACUGAAUUCUUGCAGCUCCAUCUUGGACAAGUCAGCUUGAAGCGGUGGUCAGAGGAUUCUGCAGCAGCAAACAGAAGUGGUUGGGUGGCUCGUUGGACCUUCCCUUCAGAUUGCAAAUCCAGCGGCUUCUUCUGUGGUAGUUUUGGUGUUUGCACGAGCAACGGCAAAUGCACUUGCCUCGAUGGAUUUGAGCCUAGAUAUCCAGUUGAGUGGGGGCUUGGAUCCUUUGUCACUGGUUGCUCAAGAUCUCUUCCAUUGAGCUGUGAGACGAAUGGCCAGACUGAACAUGGUGACUCGUUUAUCCUGAUAGACAAGCUGCAGGGAAUCCCUUAUUACUCCCAGAAUGAUUUAGCAGAAAGUGGUGAAGAUUGUAAACAAGCCUGCUUGAGCAAUUGUUACUGUGUUGCGUAUGUGUAUGACUCCGGAUGCAAUCUAUGGUACGAUAAGCUGUACAACGUGAGUUUUGCUUCUAGACCUCCAUACAGCAAGGUUUAUGUUCGUUGGGGUUCCAAGCUCCCGGCCAAAAAUGGUCUCCACAAAAGAGCAAUUUUAUUGUCUGUGGCAGGAUUUAUAGCAUUGGCUUCUAUGAUAUUGAUACUGGCACUUCUAUGGAGAUACAGGAGAGAUCUAUUUACUUGCAGAAAGUUUGAAGUAGAGGGUUCUCUUGUUUUCUACUCUUAUGGGCAAAUUAAGAGAGCUACAAGGAAUUUCUCUGAUAAACUUGGCGAGGGAGGUUUUGGUAGUGUUUUCAGGGGAACAAUGCCAGGACCCGGAUCAACAGUUAUUGCUGUGAAGAGUCUCAAAGGCCAUGGGCACGCAGAUAAGCAAUUCAGAGCUGAAGUGCAGACAGUUGGAGUGAUCAAACACACUAACCUCGUCCGUCUUCUGGGAUUUUGUGUCAAAGGGGAUAUGAGGUUGCUGGUCUAUGAGUGUAUGCCUAAUGGUUCUUUGGAUUCACAUCUCUUUUCAGAAAGUUCUAGUCUUCUGAAUUGGGAUCUUCGCUACCAAAUCGCACUAGGUAUUGCAAAGGGCCUAGUCUAUCUUCAUGAAGAAUGUGAGGACUGCAUCAUACAUUGUGAUAUCAAGCCUGAAAACAUACUACUUGAUGAGGAAUUCUGCGCAAAAAUCUCAGACUUUGGCAUGGCAAAGCUUCUUGGGCAUGAAUUCAACUCUGCAUUGACCACCUUCCGGGGAACCAUGGGAUACCUCGCGCCAGAGUGGAUAUCUGGACAGCCUAUCACUAAAAAGGCAGAUGUUUAUAGCUUCGGCAUCGUGCUUCUCGAAAUAGUCUCAGGGAGAAGGACUACAAAGAGAUUGAAAUCCGGAAAUCAUCGGUAUUUCCCUCUUUAUGCAGCCGCUCAAGUGAAUGAAGGGAAUGUGUUGUGCUUACUGGAUAGUAGGCUCGAAGGGAAUGCUAAUGUUAAGGAGCUUGACAUCACCUGCAGAGUUGCCUGUUGGUGCAUCCAGGACGAGAAGGACGACAGGCCAUCAAUAGGGCAAGUUGUUCGCAUGCUGGAAGGCGUUGUGAACACUGAAAUUCCUCCAAUUCCAUCUUCCUUUGAGAACCUUAUGGAGGGUGAGAACAGCUGUAUAUAUUCUGACGAAGGAUAAAGUUUUAGUUAUAGUGGGGAAAUUUGUUAGGACGACAACCUACAUGCACUGAUAGAAGUUAAUGUUGGUAUUCAGAGUGGAGAUUAGGCCAUUCACAGUGCUGAGUUUCAUUUCACAGUUUCUAAGACUGCCAUGUCACCCAAUGUGGAAUGACACUGUUAAUGAAACAAGCCCUACAAUGCUUGGUUUCACUUCACUGUUUUCAAAGCUAGUCAUACCAUUAACUUAAUUGAUUAUGUUGUGAUCUAUUGCUCCAUAUGAAUUAUGUAGCACUUUUCUAUUCUUUUCAAAUACUAGAUACAAAUGACGCAUGAAUGAACGAACGUGACAUCUCUUUGAAUUGAAAUAUAGUUGCAUUCAUUUCAAUAUUCAUACGAUACAUGGCAUAUAUAAAUAUGGCAUUAGCAAAUAAAAUAGGCGACGCAAAGAUAGUUUAAUUCACUUUAAUUUCCAUACAUCAUAUGGUAGUAGACGGCAUAUAUAAUAUAGAAUUCAUAUGUCAUGCUUUAGCUAAGUUUAUCGCUGUCCAUACUUUUGCCAAAUAUGCUCAAUCAAGUCCUUCUUAAGCUGGAAAUGAGCUGAAUGAUCUUCAAUAUCUUCAUUCUUGUCUAGCACUCUUUCGAAUGUAGCGCAUUCUUCAAGGGAGAAUUCCGGUUCUUCAACAAUCAAUGUACUUGGAGGCUCGUUCAAAUCAAGAUUUUCUUCAAUGUCCUCAAUCUUUUCAUCUUCAACUAUCAUAUUGUGAAGUGUGAUGCAAGCUAGCACAAUUUUCUCAAGAACUCCUCGGUCAUAUAGACGAGCUGGUCGCUUCACAAUUUCCGUUGACCAUAUAUUGCACUCGAGGAGCUUGCCCCUUUAGUUCUUUGAUAAAUAGUGUCGAUUGCUUAAGAACGUUGAUAUCAUUGUUAGCACCAGCAACACCAAAGCAUGCAUGCCGUAUCCAAAGAUCAUGCGAAGCCACGGCCUCCAGAAUUAAUGUUGGGACUUUUUGAUCACCCCAAGUGAAUUGGCCCUUCCAUGCAUUGGGACAUCUUUCCCAGUGCCAAUUCAUGCAGUCAAAAUGCUCGCAAACAUGCCUGUAAAACCUCAGCUCUCACUAACUUUGAGCAAACGCUCAAUAUCUGCCACGGUGGGGCGCCUCAAAUAUUGCUCACCAAAAACAGCAAUAACACUUUCGGCAAACAUCUUCAACACCUGUAAUGCAGUAGUGUCACCAAUCUUCAAGUACUCAUCUAGAUGAUCUGCGGCACUACCAUUGGCCAAUUGACGAAUAGCUGCUGAUGUUGUAAAAGCCGGACAGCUGCAGUAGUCGUCACCAUUAAUUCACAGCUCUGCAACAAGCACAACUGAAAUGCAGUGGUUCCACCUCCAAGGGAACAUGUCAAUCAUCAGCAAAUGCGGCUAGCCAAGUGGACCAAGUCUCACACCGUCACACGUAAAGAUAGGUUGGACAAGGCCAAGACAGGUGCCUAACUAGACAGAGCUAGAGUCGACAGGUGUGCUUCUGUAGUUCUGUGGUCCGAGUACAAGUUUGAUGAGUAUGCUUAGAGUUGCUUUCGGAAAGAUUGUUCUGGUUAGACUGGAAGGCUCUCGUUUCAAUUCCUAGAACAGAAAUGGAGUGCAACAAGCACAACUGAAAUGCAGUGGUUCCACCUCCAAGGGAACAUGGCGAAGGAUGAAAUUUUCCUACCUGGGGUAUGUAUCCCAGUUACUUUCAAUCCAGCAGCUUCAAAUUUAUCGCUUCUUUAGUUCCUUAUUAUCCUUGUUUCUGCUCUGACCCGUCGACGAUGCUUUCCCAUGAAGAUGAUGAUGAAGCACAGGCAUCCAGUGUCUUCCAACUUUCCAACAAUAUUACUCUUCAUCGUCCUACUAUUUGCAGGUAGCCUAGCUGCUCCUGUGAAGGACACCCUUCUUUCUGGUCAGUGUAUUUCGGCAACCGAAACAUUAACAUCAAAGAGUGGUACAUUUGAGCUGGGACUGUUUGCUCAAACAUUUUAUCACAGUGAGCAGUACUACUGCUGGGGUUGGGGCAUACGUUACAAGAGCAUGACACAAGGUCCAGAGUUCUUGGUGGGAUAUGGUAGGUAUUCCAGCAACAGUUCAACAUUGUGUUUCCUUGCAGGCAAGCUAUAUAUUGGGGAACGGGGCUCUGAUUCUGUUAUCUGGCCCUCGGACUCUGAAAGAAAUGGAUCAGUUGCGUCUGUUGCGAUUCUUCUUGACACAGGUAAUUUUGUAGUAAGAGAUGAGAUGAAUCCUUCCGUGGUCAUGUGGCAGAGUUUUGAUCACCUACGUGGUCCGAGUGAUGCAAAGCUACCUGGGGCAACCACUGGAGCUUACGCAAUGGCGCAAAUGUACAACUAUCCUCCUUAUAAUUGUACUCUGGAGAUUGACAAAAGCAGGAAGAGGGGAUUUGCCAUUCACGUUGGCGGUGCCUCAUAUGGGUCCUUUCCGGACUGGAUGGUUGCCUACCAAAAUGUUAGUUCUGUACAACUGAAUGUUCCCAAAAGGCCCAACGAUAUUGAGUUGUUAAAACUGGACAUGGGACAGAUGAGUUUUUUGAGGUGCUUGGCAACCUCUAUGGAGCUUUCCCUCCAGCUGCAAUAUUAGUCCAUUUAUCUGUGGCGCUUUUGGUGUUUGCACUCAAGCCGAAGAAUGCAAGUGCAUUGACGGUUUCAGACCGGCACUUGCAGAUGAAUGGGAGCUGGGCCGUUUCACGAGUGGUUGCUUAAGUGUGAAAAUGGUGAUACCACUGACUCAUUUGUUUUGGUGGACCAUCUGCAGAGACUCCCUGACUAUGGACGGGAUGAGCCUGCAGCAAGUAGUGAUGAAUGCAAAUCAGCUUGCCUGAGCAACUGCUAUUGCGCUGCAUACUCCUAUAGUUCUGGGUGCAAGAUUUGGCCGUUCAAGUUGCAUAAUUUGAGUCUGGCUGAUAAUCCUAUCUGGGCAGGCUGUAACUUACAAAGUAGAUGUCUACAGUUUCGGCAUCGUGCUCUUUGAGAUAAUUUCGGGGAGAAGGACUGCUAAGAAAGUGAGAUUCCAGCUUCGUUUCAGUGCCUCAUGGACUAUGAUGACAGUGGCAUAUAUUCUGCAGAAGGGCCAGGUUCCAGGAAACACUGUUAGCACCAUGUAAAUUUCUCAUGUGCUGCUUGCCAUAUUUUCAUCUUCAUGCUGGGCCUACUUGGUAGUUCAGCUAGGCAUUUGGAACUGCUACAUGGAGUUUUAUAUAUUUUUUCCUAGCAUUUGUUUGGUACUGAACUGCGUUAUGACAUUGUUCAAUUCUAAAGAAAAUAAAUAAAAAAGGUCACCCUGUCACGAAACUAUGCAGAAGCACAUUUCUUCCGGUGGUGUUUGGAACCAAGGUCCUGUUUGAUACUUUUAGCACCUGUUACAUCGGAUGUUUGAUGCUAAUUAGGAGUAUUAAACAUAAGCUAAUUACAAAAGUAAUUGCACAGAUAGUCCAUGAUUUGAUAAUGUGGUGCUACAGUAACCAUUUGCUAAUGAUGGAUUAAUUAAACUUAAUAGAUUCAUCUUGCAAAUUAGCACAGGGGUUCUGCAAUUAGUUUUAUAAUUAGCUUAUGUUUAGUCCUAAUUAGAAUAUCCGAUGUGACACGACUAAAGUUUAGCACCUAGUAUCCAAAGACCCUCUAAAUACAUACGCGCUAUGCAAAUGCCAAUGUGUGGGUUCCUUGAGCUUUCACGGUUUAUGGUUUAGUGCAAUAUUCGUUGAGAUCUGUAUUAUACGUACACUGACGAAGGCCAGGAUGAAAAUAUCCGGGCGGAUUUCUGCAGCGGAUCAGCAGCAGCGACGCAAUUGCGUGCUGUUUCGUCCGCAGGCACCGCAUCACCCAAAAUGAUAUGAAAUGAAAUGGCAGUCACACACUGGCGUUGCGAUCACGGGCGAGAGAUGACAAAGCGCGUUUCGGCCCCAUCCAUGACCAUGAUGAUCGCCUGGCCUUUUUCCUCACGUCGCGCUCUCACAGCACAGGCAGACAGGUCCAAUGCUUGUCCUCGACGGGUCCAAGUGCAGACAGGUCCAAUGCUUCGCAAUACUCUGCAAUAGCGUCGCCAGUGCAGUCAGCUCCCAACUGUGACCGAGAAGAUAGAUGGUCUACUGGUCUAGCAUGCAUGAUUGCAUUGUCACUAGAUAGCCAAUGGUUGCUGAAUGCUGAUGGACGCUCCAUGGUGAAAGGGAAAUGCCAUGCCAGUCCCCCAGCUCAACUCCAAACAAAAGUGACACGUGACAGGACCAGCGACCAGGACGACACGACUCACCAUUUGAAUCUGCGGGUGUUGGCAUGCUACUCUAACCCACCAAAAUCCAUCAUUGCAUUACUCUGCUCUUCGAAAAGAACAAAAGAGGGAAAAGGAAAUAGGCCCGUUUGAUAGCCCAGCUAAAGUUAAAGCACCUAUCACAUCGGAUGUUUGAUAUAAAUAUAGGUUAAUUAUAAAACUAAUUGCAUAGAUGGAGUCUAAUUCACGAGAUGAAUCUAUUAAGCCUAAUUAGUUUGUAAUUUGAUAAUGUGGUACUACAAUAAUCAUUUGCUAAUGAUGGAUUAAUUAGGUUUAAUAGAUUCGUCUCACAAAUUAGCACAGGAGUUCUGCAAUUAGUUUUAUAAUUAGCUCAUGUUUAAUCCUCCUAAUUAGCAUCCGAACCUCCUAUAUGAUACUGUUAAAGUUUAGCACUAGAGUAGAACUGAGCUAGCCCGUCCAGAAGUAACACCUUUUGUGCGUGCAUGGGCGAACCCAAAAAUAGAAUGCCCGCCAAUCUACUCCUGUGUACACGGUAUAUGCAUAAAAAGAGGUUACAACAAGAUACCACACCCCGUUCGGUGGCACUGUACGUAUGCAUACAUACGCAUGUGCCUACGAUUCAAGAUACAGGUGGUCCAUAUCCCUGCACGUCUUGUUACCAAGCAACGAGACGUAAAAGGCAAUGCCCAGGUGCAGCUCUGGACCAGAACAUGUCCCCGGAACGCGCGUAGCAGCGUACAUGUACGGGCUAUACACUGAAAGCACGGACCACAGGGGGAGCACGGGACCGGUGCGUAGGACACACGCGCCAUUAUGGAUAAAAAGACGCUCAACAGUAGCCGCAUGGCGUCGCGUCGGUACUCCUGUAAUCGUGUAUCCCAGCUGAACGUACCACCUGUAUUCUUGGGCAAUGCACGUAUGUGUACGCGUGUACCACGGGGGGUUCCUGCCAUGCCCUGCCAGCCUGCAUCAAUAAUUCCGUUAUAAAUGUCAGCUUCAGAUCGUACAUUACAUCUACUUAUAAUAUGCUUCCGUCAGCUGUAUGGUAUUGGUACGUAUGGGUAGCAGGUGGUGGUGCAGAGCGGCGCCAAAUUGGUAGUGCUGGAAUGUCCUGUGGAUUACUGCCAAAUCGGCUUCAUAAUUAACGAGGUGCACCCAUCACUGUUAGGCGAUUAGUGAAGGUACGGUGCGUAGCCGUCUUUUUAGUUGCAGUGUUAGUUUGAACCCCGGAAGAGAUCACUCCUAACCAGCGUCGUGCUGCCUUUUUGUUAGCUCCAAGCAAGCAAGCUACUACAGUGCCGUUUAUGCUACUCAUGAUUCACACUGCAGCUGGUCAGCUCGUCUUCGCCCCCGGGUGUCUUGGCUUGGCUUGGCUUGCGGGCUUGGGAUGUUCAAACAAACGAAAAUUUGACUGGCGCUGGCAAAAAGGAAAAGUGAAAGCCAAGUCAAGCGGGCAGCUCACCUCAGCUGUGGAUGGAUGGACGCAAUCAUCAAUCGCCCACACCGCUGCCGUCUUUUUCCUUUGCCGUGCGUGCUGGAUUCACAUCCCUUUCUUUCUUCUUCCCGCCGACCUAAUCCGAAGAUGGCUCGUUUCUACUGCUGCUCCCCGUUGGUCUGGUCGCCGAUGCUGAUGGGAGCAGUUUUGUUUCUGAGUUUUACUAGUUGCUGGUCAGAGGUAACAACUUUUUGUUAGUUUGUGCUAAUAACCCUGCUACCGCGCUGUCUUGUCUUGCGUUCCAUCUUCCACCACGGAAGUGAGGCCGUGUUUAGUUGGGGAAUUUGGGAGGUGCCAAAUUACUGUUACAGCACUGUAGCACACUGUAGCGUUUCGUUUGUAUUUGUGAAUUAUUGUCCAAAUAUUGACUAAUUAGGCUCAAAAGAUUCGUCUCGCAAAGUACAACAAAACUGUGCAAUUAGUUUUUAAUUUCAUCUACAUUUAGUACUCCAUGCAUGUACCGCAAGUUUGAUGUGAUGGGGAAUCUUCUUUUUGCAUAGUGUCAAAGUUGGGAGUUGGAAGUAACUAAACAUGGCCUGAAGCUUGUUUUUGCUAGUCACAUCAUCACAUGGCUUGUAUUAAAAUAAAUGCAAAGAUUACCGGAUCGGAUCACCAAACGACCUUGCUUGCCACAGCCGAGGCGGCGAUGGUUGCCAGGAAUCUCAACUACAGAAGAGGAAUGGCAGACAAGAAAUGCUCAGAAAUUCUAUUGCCGCCCACCACUCCAGCUGAGGGUCACAUGCAGCAGCGUUGCAUCUCCCCCACAAAUCCAGCAAAAACACGGCGCCCCAGCCGGGAGCGCCGCUCACUGCACACCACCCGGCAACCCACGCCAUCUCUCCCUCCCCCGCCUCCAGCGCUCGCGCACGCUUCCCCACGACGCCAAGCUACCAGUCUACCGCAGCUGAGCAGCCAGCCAGCCACCACCUAGGCACCUCCUCCUCCCUCCCCCCCUUCACGGCUCCUCUGCUCCCCCCUCACUCACUCACGCGUCUCGCCUCCCCUCCCGUUCCGUACCGUGCUGCUCCUCGCUCCACUUCAGAUCCAACGAAACCGUCCGCCCCCACCGCCACCGCCGGCGGCAGCACACCAUGCCGCGGCGCCCGCCGCUCCGCGUGGCGGCGGCGGCGCUCCUGCUCUGCUGCAUCCUCUGCCUCCGCCUCGCGUCGGCCGAGCCCGACGCCGACAAGGCGGCGCUGCUCGCCUUCCUCGCGGGGGUGGGCCGCGGCGGCGCCGCCCGCGCGCGCAUCAACUGGCCCACCACCCCGCUCGCCUGCGCAGGCCCCGGCUGGACGGGAGUCACCUGCAGCGCCGACGCCACCCGCGUCGUGGCGCUGCACCUCCCGGGGCUGGGCCUCUCCGGCGCCGUCCCCUCCGGCACCCUCGGCCGCCUCGACGCGCUGCAGCUGCUCAGCCUCCGCGCCAACAACCUCUCCGGCCGGUUCCCGACGGACCUCCUCAGCCUCCCCGCGCUCACCGGGCUCCACCUCCAGCGCAACGCCUUCUCCGGCGCGCUCCCCGCGGGGCUCGCCGCGCUGCAGAACCUCCAGGUGCUCGACCUCUCCUACAACCGCUUCGAGGGGGGACUCCCCGGCGCGCUCUCCAACCUCACCCACCUCGUCGCGCUCAACCUCUCCAACAACUCGCUCGCCGGCCGCGUCCCGGACCUCGGCCUCCCAGCGCUACAGUUCCUCAACCUCUCAAACAACCACCUUGACGGCCCCUUGCCCGGCUCCCUCCUCAGGUUCGCCGACGCCGCGUUCGCGGGCAACAACGUCACGCGCCCGGCGGCGCCGGUGCCGCCGCCGGCGCUCCUGCCGCCCUCAACGCUGGCCCCGCCUUCCACUAAGAGGCGGGUGCGGCUCAGCGAGGCGGCCAUCCUCGCCAUCGCCGUCGGCGGCUGCGUCCUCGUGUUCGCCGUCGUCGCGGUGUCCCUCAUCGCGUUCUGCAACCGGGACGGCGGCGAGGAGAUGGGCGGCGGUGCGGUGUCUGGGAAGGGCGGGGACAAGAUGGGGAGGGAGUCGCCCGAGUCCAAGGCCGUCAUUGGCAAGGCCGGGGACGGCAACCGGAUGGUGUUCUUCGAGGGCCCGUCGCUGGCGUUCGACCUAGAGGACCUGCUCCGCGCUUCUGCCGAGGUCCUCGGGAAGGGCGCGUUCGGGACGGCGUACCGGGCGGUGCUCGAGGAUGCCACCACGGUCGUCGUCAAGAGGCUCAAGGAGGUCAAUGCCGGCCGCCGCGAGUUCGAGCAGCAGAUGGAGCUGGUCGGCCGGAUUCGGCAUGACAACGUCGUCGAGCUCCGUGCUUACUACUACUCCAAGGACGAGAAGCUGCUCGUGUACGAUUACUACAGCAGGGGAAGCGUAUCCAACAUGCUUCAUGGUAUGGUGCUUGCUCCCAGCCUCACCUUCUCUUGUGUAACUUUCAUAGUUUCAGUGCUCAAUUUGGAUGCUGCAAUUUGCUUGAUAACUGCCACCGUUUGUUUGUGUGCUAGAACUGUAGCAAUGAUGAUACUAUGAUUGCGACAGAGAAGUGGCACUUAAGAAAUGUGUUAGGAGAUGUUGCAAACAAUUUAAAAAGGAAGAAGAUUUGUAAUGUGGAGUGAUUGUGGUGAGCUGGAGAUGCGGUGUUGCUUGUUGUUUGGGAAGGGGUUAAUGGUUCGAUAAGCUAACUGAUUGUUUAGUGUAACAAAGUUUGGUUGACUUUAUCAGAUGCAGGCUAGGAUGGACAAUUAGGAUUUGGGGGUUAACGGUAAAGGCAAUACAGGAUCAAAAGGCUAGAAAAUGUUGGAUAGGUCCUUGUUUGUGCUCUGUUUAUUGUCUAGGUCCACAUUUUAAUUUUCUGACCGUAGCACUUGAGGCCUUUUGACCGAUAUAUUUGAAAAUAACUCCUCCCUGUGUUUUCUCUCUUUUUAUCGUAUCAGUCAAUAUCAACCCCCUUUUUCUGCUUUGACAAAAAUUUUCAUCAUGUGGCAUUACAUUGGCAAUGAAUGGGAAUGAUUUCCUCAGCUUUGUGUUGGUAGUGGGAUGAACAGAAUUUUCCCUCUUGCUGAACAUGCUAUUUUUGACUCUACUAUUCUAAGGAAAAGAUGAACUUUAGUGUUCCGCGCUUUGGUUCACCAACCAAAAGUAACACAUGGUGCUGAUUUCUUCCUUAAUUCUGGUUUAGUGACUUGCUAUCCUAUACUAAUUUCCUGUGUUCAUUUAGAUCUAGCUGUUUGGUGCAUAGUGCUUAGCUGUCUUCACUCGCAAUUUUUCUUCAAACUUUAAUCCGUUUCAAUUCAAGUUCACAUGGCAUGCUUGGUGCGUGGUGGUCAACUCUGGUCACAUCAGUGCCAUCUUAGCACCAAGACAAUCUGUUUCCUACCUCAUCCCAUGAGGUUAAGUGGACCGUGAAAUCUUGUUGAUGAAGUGUAUGUGUACUUCAAUCACAAGAUGACAUGGAAUUCGAAUAACAAACUGUGUGGUUAAUUAGUUUGUAACUGGCGAAAUACGCCGUCGAUAAUUUACUAGCGAAAAAAAAAGAUGGAGCUAUAAGUGGUAGCGGGCAACUGUGGAAGAAAAUUGGAUGACGGAUGCAUUAAGAAGUAGGCAGUAGUUGAGUGUUUUCGCCUACUAAAAAGUAAAUCUUUUCAAGUUUAAUUGGUAAAAUCCUUCAAUUAGUUAGCGUUGGUGUUCUGUUCACUAUCAUGGCCCAUUCCUCCAUUUCAGUGUCAGAAUCUGGACCAGAGGAGGACCACCGUUAGAUAUCCUAUGGAGUACUAUGGAUGAACAAUUUGCAACCAUGUUAGUUGUGUAUCUGUAUCAUGAUGGAGCACUGCAGCUAACAGUAGGAACUUAAACUGUAGGAAUACUUGAUUAUAAGUAUUUAGGCCAUAUGGAGUAUGAUGUUAUCCAGAAAACAGACAUCAAUUAUACUUCAAUCUACCAUGUUAGUUUGUUAUCUGAUGCUUAAAGUAUAAACGCUUCACAUGAUUAAAGCAACAUGCAUCUCAUAGUUCUUCUCAUUUUUUCGCAUUUUCAGGGAAGAGGGGAGAGGACAGAACGCCAUUGGACUGGGAAACCAGAUUAAAGAUUGCCCUGGGAGCAGCAAGAGGAAUCGCACACAUUCACACGGAGAACAAUGGGAAAUUUGUUCACGGCAACAUCAAGGCCUCCAAUGUGUUCAUCAACAGGCACGACUUCGGCUGCAUCUCAGACCUCGGCUUGGCACAACUGAUGAACCCAAUCACCGCAAGGUCCCGUUCUCUAGGCUACUGCGCGCCAGAGGUCACCGACACGAGGAAAGCAUCACAGGCUUCAGACGUGUACAGCUUCGGCGUCUUCAUCCUCGAGCUCCUCACGGGGAAGUCGCCUGUCCAGAUAACCGGCGGCGGCAACGAGUUCGUCCACCUGGUGAGGUGGGUGCAGUCCGUCGUCCGGGAGGAGUGGACCGCCGAGGUGUUUGACGGCGAGCUGCUGCGGUACCCCAACAUCGAGGAGGAGAUGGUGGAGAUGCUCCAGAUCGCCAUGGCGUGCGUGUCGAGGACCCCGGAGCGGCGGCCCAGGAUGGCGGACGUGGUGAGGACGAUCGAGGAGGUGCGGCGGGGCGACACCGGGACGCGGCCGUCGACGGAGGCGUCCACCCCGGCCGUGGAAGCCGCCGCCCAGACCAGGGCGGAGAGCUCAUCAUCCGCAGCACAGUGAGUGAGUUCAAGUUCAUUCGCUGGAUGAUCCUCGCGGAUGGUAUUCGUUGUUCUUGUGUUGUUGCACGGUAGGGAGCACGGAUGGGGUCGAUCCCUGUGUGCUCCGGCGGGUGCUGUACCAUUCUUUUGUGUUAAGAUUCCAUCAAUGUUACGAAAUUGUAACAGAAUGUCAUGUGGACUUGGUUCGAUUAUGCAGCAAUUGCUCGCUGCUGAUUGUCACUGAGCGAAGGAUGAAAAAUUGCUCGCUCCUGUGUCCGCUGCGUUGCUUCUUCAGCUCCGGUUUGCAUUGCUAGAUCCGAUCUGAUGCACUUGCACCGUUGCACGUGUGGGCGGAAUGGGUGGGUAUGUUGAUUUGAUUUUUGUGGGUCCGAUUUAUGGCCCAUGGGCUCUCUCGUGGCCCAGGCAGCACAGUUUUUGAAUUUUGACCCAUAUAGAGUUAUAGACCUCAAGAACCGGCAGCAAGCAAAGAGAUAUGCUCUCACCUCAUCUCUUCUCGUUCUUCUAGCAUUUGGCAUCAAAUGAUCAAAUGGAUUAGUACGUUGACCACACAACUAGGUGUUUAGGUUUCCAGCCAGCCAUCAAAUGAGCAGCAUAACUCAAGGUGAGACAGGCCACCACAGAGACGGACUAUCAAGCAAAGUAUGCUAGCUAGAACAUACAAGCUCAGACACUAAGGCAAAUACGCUAGAGCACGGACAGAUGUCCGAUUUUCACGGCAUGCAGAUUAGAGGUUGGAUGCCCACCCGAUGAAUCUGACCAAACUGCAAAAUGCAGCCCAUAAUGUCCUGCAGCUGAACAUCUUCACAAUAUAUGACAAUAAAAAGAUGUUUUUGAUAGCUUGUGCAACUCUAUUUUCGUCGUUAUUGGCACUAAUAACAUUUGCCACUGUUUUAGUCUUCUCACAUCCAUUUGCAAGAGCAAUACCCAAACCAGCCAGUUGCAUCAUCUUUAGGAACAAUAUAAGAUGUAAGGGGUGCAUAUGCACCCACAUCAAAAUACAAAACUAGUGAUCAAGAUCAAAAUUUCACCAUAUAUAUACACUCACAUGGCUCAACUCCACGGGCUCAUAAGGUAGCCACACCACCUCCAACUUGCUCCAGAUUUUAGCCGCCGCACCUAAGCUCCUAAUAUAUAAUGUGUCUAAUUUACCUUAGAAGGCCAAACUAGCAGCCCAUGGAUUGGCUUCAAGGAUCUAGCAUUUUAACCCAUCACUACCAGCAAAUAGUUUGCGAAAUAUUAAUUCGCAUAUUUUUGCAUGAUUUUUUAACUCCAUAUGUGGAUCCCACCCAAAUGUCAUUCGCAAGUUGCAAGGGAGAGUUAUGAUAGAUCCUAGCCGUUGUGAUCCGUACUCCUCCCUUUAGGCCCUGUUUGGCAUGGCUCCAGCUCUGGACGGAGCUGCUCCACUCCAGAACUCCAGGUGGAGUCAGCUCCACUCCAGAACUCCAGAAUAAAAUGGGGUGUUUGGCUAGAUGGGUGCUCUCAGCUCCAAAAUAAUCAAUCUUCAGUGUGGAUUGCCAUUGUUACCCCCAAUUUAGGUCCCACUUGUCAUUCUCUCCAUCGCCAUCUCCUUCUUCCUCGGAAAGGCUGCCCGGCAACCACGACACACCGUUCUCUCCUCUUUUUUUCCUUGCCCCGGCGCUCCCGCCGUCUCGCAGGAGCAAGCAAGCAGCUCACCAGCGUAGGGGCUUCGGCGGACGGGCGAACUGGCGGCCGGCGGAGGGGCUUCGGCGGACGGGCGCGAAGGCCGGCGGGGGAUCUUCAGCGGCGGGGCGAACUGGCGGCCGGCGGAGGGGCUUCGGCGGACGGGCGCGAAUGCCGGCGGCGGGCCUUCGGCGGAGCGGCGCGAAGGCCGGCGACGGGUCCUGCGGCUGGCGACGGGGCCUACUGCCGGCAGCCGGGGGCUACGGCUGGCGACGGGGGCCUGCGGCGACAGGGCCCUGCGACCGGCGGGGGAGGGGGGGUCUCCGGGUGGCUGGCGGCGGACCCUGCGGCCGGCGACGGGGGGCUGCUGCCGGCGGGGGGGGGGGGGGGGGGNNNNNNNNNNNNNNNNNNNNNNNNNNNNNNNNNNNNNNNNNNNNNNNNNNNNNNNNNNNNNNNNNNNNNNNNNNNNNNNNNNNNNNNNNNNNNNNNNNNNACCAGGCGGCAGCCGGCGUUGGGGCUCCUGCUGCAGGCGGCGGCCGGCGGCGGGCCUUGUGCAGAUCAGGCGGGAGGCGGAGGAAGGAGGCCGGGCUGGGGUAGGAGAUCGGCGGCGGGGCUGGGCCGGCCACCGGCGGGGCUGGUCCGGCCGGCAGCGGAGGUGGACGGCGGCCGCCGGUCUGCCUGGCGGCGGCGGCAGAAACGUCGGGACGGAGGGAGGCGCAGGAUGAGGAGACGGAAGGAGGCGCGGGAUGAGAAAAAUGAGAUGCGCAGGGUGACUGGAGAAUAGAAUCGAACCGUUUUUUUCCAUAACCAGUGGUAUUGGUGGGUAAUUACCCACCAACUCCACGAGGAGGUUCAAAAGAGGGGGUUUUGGAGCAGCAAAAAAGGUACUACAGCUCCAUGGAGUUUUGGAGUUGGGGUGUUUGGCUAUUUUUUUUCCUGGAGUCGCUGGAGUUGUGGAGUGGAGCUGUGCCAAACAGGACCUUAAUUACCUACAUUCAAUUCCAUGUCAAAUUUAAAAACUAUAUUCCAAAUCCUUUUUUUAAACGAGGCGGAAAGUAAACCUAUCGAUUAUAUUAAAAAGAAUAUGAAAUCUAAACUGAGCGAUACAUCCAAAGAAAAAAAACUACCAAACAACUCCGACAGGUUGGAUUGGGACAUAUCAAGAUCCGCCGCACAACACCAUUACAUUAUCCAACUCAACUCAAACAAACAACACCGGUCGAUUGGAUUAGGACAUUAACACUCCAAGUACAAAUUCAAGAUGGUUUUGACUAUUUGCACGUGGCAAGUGAUUUUUAUUCACUACUACGAGCCUUACUUUAAAUAGCAGGCUUAAAAAAGCUUUAUUGUUUCCUUUGGAAUAUAGUACCUUAAAAUUUAGUAUCUUCUUUUCGUUCCAAGUCAUAUUUGCGUUGUGCCGCCGGCCGGAGUGCACGCAGCACCAGACGAAGCAGUAACACCUCCCGGCUCGAUCGGUUCUUCUUUUUCACGUCCAUCUACCGCGGACGGAGCAAGCAAGCAGCUCCCGGGUCGAUCGGUUCUUCGUUGUCACGUCCGAUCCGUCUACCGCGGACGGAGCAAGAUGCAUGCGCAGAUCAUGUCGCUGUUGUGUGCCGCCGUCGUGCUCGUCCUCUCGCCGUGGGAGCCCAUGCUCGCAUCCGCCGCCUCCUCCGUCGGUUCCCGGCGCUACGACGCCAUCUUCAGCCUCGGCGACUCCUUCACCGACACCGGCAACAACCCCGCCGUCUUCGCCUAUUACUCCAUCGCCGACCCCGUCACGCGGCCGCCGUACGGCAACACCUUCUUCGGCCGCCCCACCGGCCGCAACUGCGACGGCCGCCUCAUCAUCGACUUCAUCGGUAUACAUGCACGCACUCAAAUCGCAUGCCAUGUCGUUGCGAACAAAUUAAACUGUUAAUUGUCAUUGUCGAAUUGAUAUUUUUGGAGCACUACGUACCUGUUGUGUCGUGCAGCCGAAGGCCUGGGGCUGCCGUACGUCCCGCCUUACUUGGGCCCGCCGUUCGGCUCCCCGUCGCCGUCGGCAGCGAGCUUCCGGCAAGGCGCGAGCUUGGCCGUCGGCGGCGCCACCGCGCUGGACGUGGAGUUCUACCGCUCGAGGGGAAUCCUCUCGGCCUCCAGCAAGUUCCCUCUCAACGCCAGCCUGAGCGUGCAGCUGGAGUGGUUCGGGUCGCACUUGAAGCCUUCCCUGUGCCGCACAACCCAAGGUACGUACCGCAACAAUUCACAAAAGCGCAUCAUGCAACCGCAAGUGACCCGGCACGUACGUCGAUCGUGCAUGCGCGUGUGCAGAAUGCGACAAGUUGUUCGGCAGAUCCCUCUUCUUCGUGGGAGAGUUCGGCGUCAACGACUACCAGUUCUUGUUCGGGAAGAUGAGACUUGCUGACAUCAGUUCCAACGUCGUGCCGACUGUCAUAGACACCAUCCGUCAGGCCAUCGAGGUACAUCCUUGUUCAUUUCCUGGAUUGUGCAUGCCAUUAGAGUACGUGUUCAUCCAAUUCACGUACUGCCAAUGCGAACCAGAGGUUGAUCAAGCUCGGCGCCAAGACACUGGUGGUUCCUGGGGUGAUUCCAUCAGGAUGCACACCGCUGAUUCUCGACAUCUUCCCUGAGCCAAACCCUUCUGGAUACAGCACCAAGACGGGCUGUAUGCUACAGUACAAUGAGCUAGGGCGACACCACAACACACUCCUGCAGGAAUCACUGCAGCAGAUCCGUGCCAAGAACCCGGGCGUCAAGAUCAUCUACGCCGAUUUCUUCAGCCCUAUCAUGGAGAUGGUCCAGUCGCCUCGCAAGUUUGGUCAGUGUUCAUUCCUUCUUCGAUCUGUUGCAUUACUGUUAGAUUGUAUGUAUCUAGUGCAGUUGAAGGCCUCGAUUAAGCUGGCGACGACGCUGAUCGGUGAUGAGAUGUCUUGCAUAACCAACGAACUGCAGGGUUCAGGGAUGACAUUCUUUCGGUUUGCUGCGGAGGAGGGUCGGGGAAGUACAACUACAACAUGAGUGUUCCUUGCGGCAGUCCAAACGCAACCACAUGCAGCCAUCCAUCCGCCUCCCUGAACUGGGACGGCAUCCAUUUCACGGAGGCAGCUAACCGCCACAUCGCCAGUAGAUGGCUGAGCAGCAUCACCUAAAGCGUUCAUAAGCCGUCCGAUCGAGCUCGGCUGAGGGGCUGAGCCGUCCUCUAUAUAUCAUCUUUUUUUUUUCUUUCGUAUCAUUAAUUAGAAGAUUGUUCAUGUCUUCAUUAGGUUCGGAUCGUUUUAUACACAUAGUGUGGUAAGACUGGCAAUUAACUGAUGACUUUUACUAUUGGUCUCACCGUUCCGUGAUAUGUUUUCGAAUUGUUUGAGUUUCCGUGGCAUAUAUAUUUUGUUUAGUUGUAAUAGCGAAAAUUCAAUUGCAAGGCCCUUAAAUAUUUAUAAAAAAUAUGUGAUAUCAUUUAUUUCAUUAAAAAAUACUUUAAGUAUGGUUUAUAUAUCAUCAAAAAAUUCUUGAAUAAGACGAAUGAUCAAAUACUAAAAAAAGUCAACGGUAAGGAAUAUUUGGAGUUGGAGGGAGUAUUUUGCAUGAAUUUCAACUACUCCAUGUCGACCCCACCCGACAGCCCACAUGCAAAGUCUCAAACAAGUUCCAUUCUGCCCGUUCAUUGUAUAUUGAUGAGGUUUGAGCCUUUGAGGGACUCGUGAGUUGUGACGCGUUCUUCACCUCCUGUCCAUCACCUCUCGACCCGGCCGGCUCGCUGCCACCGUCGUCAAGAUGAGCAAGCGCUUGCCGUGCGCCGCGCCGGCGCUGCUGCUGCUGCUCCUCCUCCUCCUCGUCCACCUCGCAUCGCUGGGACAGGCCGUCUCCGCCUAGGACACCCAGCGCUACGACGCCAUCUAAAGCUUCGGCGACUCUUUCGCCGACACCGGCAACAAGCCAUCGCCUUCUCAUGGUACUCCUUCCCGGUCACCGUCAUGCGGCCGCCCUACGGCGAGACCUUCUUCGGCCACCCCACCGGCCGCACCACCGACGUUCCUGUGACAGGAUAACCAAUCUAUCUAUAUAUAUAUCCUGUGAACUUCCGGAACUGAAUGUUUGAUGAAUCAUAUGGGGCCUAGGCGCCUAGCUUGUCCUAUACUUCUGCAAGUCAAUGCUUCAUUGCUUGUGUGCUCUCUAAUAUUACCUAUCAUCCAAGUCAAAUGCCGCAAGAGCUGCAAUUGGAAUCUUUGACAAUGAGGCGUUCAGAUCGAUGAUUACUCUGGUCCAAAACUAUGCCAAUGGAUAAUGAUAUACGUCUAUGCAGCAUGCUAAACAAAUUCAGCUGACAUCGCCGGCCGGCGCCUUACUAAUCCUGCAACUGCAAGCAAUAUAAGAUGGUUCCAUACUGCAGGUCGCCGAUGCCAGCCUGCAGCACCAAAAGAAAGAAGCAUGGCGCUAGCUCCUGGCCGGAGCAAGAUGCGGAUCAUCACGUUGGCAGUCUGUACCCUCCUCCUCCUGGCGUCAGCAGAGGCGGCCACCUCCUCCGCCGUCGACCGCCGAUACCACUCCAUCUUCAGCUUCGGCGACUCCUUCGCCGACACCGGCAACAACCCCGCCGUGUUCGCCUGGUACUCCUUCUUCGACCCCGUGAUGCGGCCGCCCUACGGAUCCACCUUCUUCGGCCGCCCCACCGGCCGCAACGCCGACGGCAGGCUCAUCCUUGACUUCAUCGGUAAGUACGCGCCGCGCCGCCCCGCCCCGCAUCCGGCCAUUCCAAGUUAAAUGCUAGUCAUGGCUCAUCAUUUGGAGUGCAGCUGAAAGCCUGGAGCUGCCGUACGUCCCGCCGUUCCUGGGCCCACCGUUCGCCUUCCCUUCGCCGGCAGAUGACUGCCGGUUCCGUCAGGGCGCGAGCUUCGCCGUCGGGGCAGCCACCGCCCUCGACGUGGAGUUCUUCCGCGAGAGGGACAUCCCCGGCGCCCCUAGCAAGUUCCCUUUGAACACCAGCUUGGGCGUGCAGCUGGAGUGGUUCGAGUCCAUGAAGCCUUCCUUGUGCCGCACAACCCAAGGUACGUUCAAGUCAUCAUCAGAAUUCAGAUAUACAAAGUACGGACGACACAUGCUGACAUGUGAUGGCUUUGGAUCUCGAUGCUCUAUUGCUCUGCCGGUAGAGUGCAAGGAGUUCUUGGCUGGAUCCCUCUUCUUGGUUGGGGAGUUCGGAGUCAACGACUACCACUUCUCCUUCCAGAGAAAGAGCGUCCGGGAGGUCAGGUCCUACGUUCCUCGUGUCGUCAGCGAAAUCUCAAUGGCCGUGGAGGUAAUUUCUUGACCAACUAUCCAACCGCACCUAAGUACACGGCAUUGCUGGAUUUGUAUUCGAGCCAUGACUGAUGUCGUCGGAAGUUCCUACUGACAGAGGCUGAUCAAGCACGGGGCGUCGACAUUGGUGGUUCCCGGGGCGAUCCCGUCGGGAUGCUCGCCGCCGGUGUUCACCAUGUUCCCCGACGCCGCCCCGGCAGAAUACGACUCCCGGACCGGCUGCCUGAAGGCGCAGAACGAGCUGGGGCGUCACCACAACGCGCUCUUGCAGGCGUCCCUGAAGAAGCUCCGGGCCAAGCACCCGCAUGCGAGGAUCAUCUACGCCGAUUUCUUCGGCCCCGUCAUGGAGAUGGUGGAGUCGCCUCGCAAAUUUGGUCAGUACUGUCACAAACUCACAAUGAUAGAAUCUGAUUGCAAAUAAUCGGCCGUCUCAUCUGUCUGACUGACAUGGUUGAUCGAUCUUGAUGCUGUAUGCUGGCGGCAGGGUUCAGGGACGACGUGCUCACCGUUUGCUGCGGUGGGCCCGGGAGGAACAACUACAACGGCAGUGUCUACUGCGGUGAUUCAGGUGCGACCACGUGCGGCCACCCGUCGGCUUCCCUGUACUGGGACGGCGUCCACUUCACGGAGGCGGCCAACCGCUACAUCGCCGCCGGCUGGCUGAGCAGCGUCGGACACUGGGAUGGCGCUGGUACUGGUGCAACUGCAAGCGGAGCAGGCCAUAAAAAUUGAUCAAGUAGACCCAAAACAAUUCGAGCAUGUGAAGGGGGUAUAUGUUGUUCUGGUCGGAAUUUGAGGCGUCUAAUUAGCAAUCAAAUUGCAGAGAGGAUCAUCAUCAUCAUCAAAUACAGUUGAGCUAGCUACUUACUAGUACUCCCUCCGUAUCGCUUUAGUUGACGCUGGUAGUUCAAUUGGAAAAGAAUCAGAAUAUUUGUCGCCCCAGUUCAAGGUAAACGUUAGCUUCCGCUUUCACCCUUCCCUUCGACGCCCGCUCCCCGGACGAUCGGACGAGUUGCCGAGCUGAGCGGCGGCUUGGGCAAAGGAAUACGGGAUGAGUUCGGGACAAAAGGGUAAAUGCAAGUCUUCCUUAAUUCUCACAAAGUGGUCCGAAACGUCGUUUAAAUCGAUAGGGAGGGAGUACUACUCAACGAUUUUACCAUAUUGUGGUAUUGGGCUGAAUCUGUUAUGGGAAAACUUCACAUUGGACGCUCCGUUGGUUCAUCGCAAUAUCAAAAAAUAACGUCUGGAAAGUGGUCGGAAACGUCAUUUAAAUCGAUAUGGAGGGAGUACUACUCAACGAUUUUACCGUAUUGUGAUAUUGGGCUGAAUCUGUUUAAUGCGAUGUGGAUCGGAGCGUCCCUACAUGCCUUCUAGAAUGUGUAUAAAAGAUUGAACUAUAGGGUGCGUUUGGCAGAGCUUCCAGAUCUGAUUUUGAGCUCUGCCAAAUAUUUUUUUCAAAGACAAAUGGUUCUCUAUUAAUUCUGUGAAGUGAUUCUCUGAGAUGAACUAAGAGAUUGGGAGUAAAAAAAUAGAUUCUCCUAAUUUUGUGAUGUGAUUCUCCAUCCUGAUUUUAAGAGUUUAAACCAUAGAAUCACUUUCAGUCACAGAAUCACUUCUUUCGGAGAAUCAGCUUCCAAAAAAAUCAGAAUCAGAUGGAGGUCUAGCAAACAAACUCAUAAUAUAUGUGUAAUUUUAUGUUUUGGAAAGAGGAUUAAUUGUUGCGGUAUAGCCCAAGGUGGUAGGAAUGCCACUUAUGGCUAAAGAUGUGCCUUAAUGUCUCUAAACCUUCUCUCUGUUUCUCUAUGUCCAUGCAUAAUGAGAGUAUUUCCAAUAGUGCCUAUAAAGUUAAGUUAAAAACAUGUGGUUCUGGGACCUUGCCAAAAAUUAUUGGGAAGGAAAAAAUAUCCCUCCACCAACAGUUUCCAAAAAUUAGUACCCAAAAUAAAUUAGUUGCUGACACAUCAUCCAUAUGUGUGGACCCUUCACCUCUCUCCCCAGCAAGCCGCCGCUUCUCCCUGCUCCCUUCUUUCUUCUCCACGAAGCAAAUCUCGGCAGCAGCUUGACCUUCCUCUCCUCCGAGCUCAGCCUGUCAUCUCCUCCUCUCUUCUCUCUCAACAAAAGCACCAAUCGGCAACUAGCAGGUAGCAACUAUCCUAUCCUCUUUUCCAAUCCGAUCACCAAAUCCAUAAAAAACAAGCAUGCCUGCUCCUCCCUGUUUGCUCCCCAUCGAUCUCCGCUCCUCCCUGCACUACUUGCAAAUCCAAGUAGCAAGCCAAAAACCAGAACCACCCACCCACGCCAUCUCCUUCCUCUGAAUUACUUCCAAUCCAAGCAGCUUGAGCUCCUCUCUCUCUCUCUCUCUCUCUCUCUCUCUCUCUCUCUCUCUCUCUCUCUCUCUCUCUCUCCACCGAAGAAAUCAGCAGCUGUAGCCAUGCGCCACCUCUCUCAUCCCUCCUCUCUCUGCUCCACCGAAACAGGCAGCCAAUAACGGUAGCUACUCAAUCCGCUUUCCACACAACCAUUCAUCCACCUGCAAGCAGUUGUCUGGGUAGCGGCACCGCUGUGCCGAUGUUGCCUGCGGACGACCCGUUGCCGCCGACGGACGGAUGGUAAAUGACGCGAGGGAGAAGAAACCAAGCGGGAGGAGGAAAAAUUGGCGGGACUGGCAGGAUUGGGAGUGCGAGCGGGCGGCGCAAAAAUGGCUCGGAAUGCCAGCUGGGCGUGCGGGAAUAUUGGGCAAUUGUUGGAGCUGUUUUUUAUGAGCUUGUUCCUAAAAUAUUUUUUUUUAUAUUUUAGGCAUUCUUGAAGAUGCUCUAAGGCAUACCAUUAUAAAAAGAACAUGAUUUUAUAUUUGUUUUUGUCUUUGAUCAUAUUUGUUUGGAGAACUCUAAAAUUCUUUUAAUAUUUUUUUGAAACAUUUUGUGGUUAUGUUUUCCACCAUGGGCUAAGACCAAAUUUCAUUAGUUAACAAGUAACAAAAUUAAAAAAGUUUACUGCAGAUAGAAUUUAAACUAACAUCGCAAAACGACACAGAUAGACUACAAAGUUUAAUUUUUUUAGGCACAACAUGAAACCAACAGCUAACAAAGACUACAUCUAAACGCCAGCUUGCAUUUCCAUUUUCCAGAUUUUGCAUUCUCCACCUUAUCUGCACCCUCUUCACCUCUUUUUAUCAGCACCCAUUCUUCACAUCUUUUUUAUCAGCACCCAUUCUUCUACUGAGGCAGCACCACACCUGCAUCACUCGAUGGAGCCUCCUGAGGGUGAAAAUAUAAAUCCAUCGCCUUGAGUGCUUCCGCCCCUUCUUCCAGCUUCCCCUUUAUCUUCCUCCUUUUGUAAUUCUACCCAUAACAUGAGAAAUGUUGAGACAGAGCAAAUGAUCUCAGUAGGAGAUUGAAUAAUUUUUCUAUCAAAACACACACUAUUUCGUGCUUUCCAAAUGGCCCAGCAAAGAGUUUCAUGAAUCCUGAGGGCAGUCCCAACCCAAGACACUAGUUAUAGUUUUCAUCAGCUCCACAUCGUCCAGAAACUAGCAUUAGACACUACUCUUCCAAUGCAAACAUCAGUGUUCCAUACUUGAAUUUAAUACUACUUAUUUUUAUUAUGUCUUGGAUGGUGUGUAGAAACUAGGUCUCAUGCAAGACCUGGUUUCCUUCUCUCUCUUCAUUUACUCCCUUGACACAUCAUCUUUUAUCCUAGGUGGCAGCUCAUUUAAUUUUAUGAACACCAUCCUAGUUAUUGGGUUGGGACUGCCCUCAUAGUGAUAAUGCCAUAGUAUUUUGAAAUAUGUUAAUAAUGGAGCAUGAAAAUUCCUAAUAGUUGCCAUCUCCUAUCCCAAUCCUGAUCUGUCACACUUGGUUUUAAAGGCAAAAUCAGAUGCAUAAAUUACAUAUGCGUCAGGAUAAAGUUACACACAUGCAACGACUUUAGCAUAUACCAUAGGCAGUUACACACAUGACCGUCGGGCUCUUGCCCUUUUGGUAAGACCACUUCAAACUAGAGUCUAUAAUUAAUUAGCCAAGACUAGAGCCAUAUGGUUCUUGUGGUUGUACUGUUUUCUUAGGUGGUCGCUCCAUGUUCCAAUUAAGCAUGGUGAUCUUGUAUUAAUGAAAGGUAUAGCAUAAAUAAAAUAGGUUUAAGCAUUGGUUCAUUGAUACCACCAUACCUAGCUAGAGCAACUGAGCAUGAACUACCCAACAUUAAAGCAACCCAGGUUGAUCAAGGUACAUGGAUAAAACUAGGCACACCUUAAAUAUGACCUAUCAUGUUUAUAAACUUAAGGUGCAUAGCAUAUGUGUAUUGAACAUGAAAGUAAAGGUUGCAUAGGAUCAAGUUGUGAUCAAGAGCACGACUUGCCUUCCUGGACCUGCUCCUACUGCUCGAAGUCUUCAAAGUCUUGACCUUCGAAUUCCUCGAACUGUGGUCCUUCUAUACGCAUCACACGAGCACAUACAAGCAAACAAGGGAAUAAAAUAAGAAAACGAUACACCAAACAGUAGCAACAGAGCAAAACAAGAUCAUAAAACUAAUAUGUGCAUUAACACGAACUCAUAGACGCAAGAAUCGCUUAAAACAUGUCUAAAACGCUAAAGAUAUGAACUAAACAAGGUGUACGGGUUUAUCGACAACAAAACUAAACUUCAGGGGCUAAACUGCGAGAAAUCAAGAGCUAAAACAUAAAUACGCAUAUAAACUGAAGGUUUAACGCGUAAAAGAGUGGGUCAAGGACACCGAGCGCUAUUUUACCAAAGAUCAGGGGCUAAAAUAGAAGAAAAAGGACCUAGAUCUAAUUACUUUUGAACUGCAGUGGACCUUAGGUGCAAAAACUAUAAAACUCAGGGGCACUUUAGCAAAAAGAACGAUGCGGCGCGGGCUUGACCGGUAUUGACCUGAGUCAGAUCUAAUCCGGACCGUCGGAUCGAGAUCGGGCGGCUGCGGUCAUCUGGAACACGGGCGGCGGCGUGUGAGCAACGGCGGACGGCGGUGAGUGGCGGCGGAGCAGGGAACUCGCUAGAACUCGCUCGAAAGCAAGCAUCUGGACGCGGUUUGCAACGAGAUCUGGCCCUGGAGGGAGCGGAGCGCACGGCGAACCGAUCUAAGGUGUUCUCAUGGUGGUUGGAGCGACUACGGCACAAGGUGACGCGGUGGAGCGGCUCAGCGCGGCGGCGUGUUUCUCUGGCGAGCUCGUCCAUGCAAAGGAAGACACGGGAGAGCACAGGAACUUCACAGACGGCCUCCUCGACAGCGACGGAGGAGAUCGACGGUGGCUGGCGUGCACUGUGCUCGGGCUCGGGCGGCGGCGGUGCUAGAGCUCAAGGCGGUCGCUUAGGGUUUGGUGAGGCCGAUGGGCGGUGGGGCGGCCUUUUAUAACCCGGGUGCUGGCCUUGGCAUACGGGCCCGAGGUCGAGGCGGGCGCACGCACGGGUGCGGCACAAGCUCAGACUCGAGUCCGGCUCGAGUGCGGCAUGAAGAUGGUAGGAGGGGGGAUGACCGAUGGGUCUCGGGUGUUAGCGGGAGAGCGGCGGCGUGUGGGAAACGGACCGGCGCGGAGGGAACGGAGCUGGCCGGCCUGCUUGGCUGAAAAGAAGAAUCGGGCUGAAAGAGAGAAAGAAAGAGAGAAAAGAAAACGAAGGAAAAAGCAAAAGGCUUUCCCUAAUGUUUAAAAAGAUUCAAACAUGAAUUCAAAUACAAAUUUGAAUUCAACAACAAAAACAAUGUACCAACCUGAAUGCAAUAAUAAACUCUUAUGAUUCAUUAGUUUAUUUUGAAAAAGAUUUAAGUGAAAAAAAUUUAAAUACAACCUUAAAAUCCUUAGACACAUGCAAUUAAAUUCUAACAAAAUUUUAUUAAUUGCAAAAUUUGAAAAUUAGGACGUUACACAAUCCAGACUUGGCCUUGUGUUUCAUCCUGAGUGUCAGCGACGAGGUGGAGAUGUAGCUGUUGAACGCCUGCUGAUUUCUAUUUUUUUUUUGAAAAUGGAUAAAUAUCUGACCUUUGAGAUCGCACACAGCCAAGUUUUAUAGUAUUCAAUUCUUAGCACAUCAGCUCAUCACACAAAUAAGUGUAAUAGUACGCAAACGGCUGGAAGAAAUCAAAAGUAAAGUCUAUUGUUGAUUCUCCAUCCAUUCUUGACAAAGAUAUUUAGGACGACGAUCUCCAAUACCUUGCUUGCCAAACAGAUAGUCUCUCUUGCUCCCUCACGCUGCAGUAGGGACCAAUAUCGUAGCCAAUAUGCUCCCUUGAAAAUAGCCUGCAUAAAAGAGGUUAAUCGUUUUUAUUUUCAAAAAUCAUAUCGUCACGCGUACACCAAAUUGCCCACAUCAAAGCUGCAACCCCAAUAAAAAUCAAAUUUCUAUCUCUUUUUAUUCAUGCUUGUUAACCAAUUUCCAAGCAUGUGUUGUAUUGAUCUUGGUGGGGUUAACCCAGUAGUUGUAGUUACAACCCUCCACAUUAUCUUAGCAUGUUGACAAUCAAAAGAAAUGCUUAAUUGUUUUGUUACAAUCACAGAAAUAAUAGUUUUGACUCCUAGUCCAAUUACUCUUAGCUAAGUUAUCCUUUGGUAAGAUAACACCCCGAUACCAAAGGAAUAUUUUUAUUUUUUAGAGGAAUCUUUAACUUUCAUAUAAAUUUAUUGAUGAAAGGAGUACCAUGAUUAAUGAGAUAUUGAUACAUAGUUUGAACAAUAAUUUGCCUUGUCUAUGCAAAUCCUUGGUAAAAUUAUCCCUCCCAUAAGAAAGUUGGUGAGUGACUACUUUAGCUACGAGAUUAUGCGAGACAGUCAGUUUAUCUCAGACUAAAACUCUUCGAAAUGAUAUAUAGCAUUUGGUUCAUGACAUUUGCCACUGUUACGUGGGGAUAGUAGUGGGAAUUGCUCUGUAUUUUGUAUCCUACCAGAAUCUCGAAGAUCCGAUGGCGUGUAAACAUUGCCACUGUUACGACCUACAAAAUCUCGCCUAACCUUGAGUAAACAUUUCCGAUGGCGUGUCCACGCCUUCCGCCAGUCGUUUGAGAUGACAGGUCCCAAUCAUUUACGACAUCACUCUUUCACUCGAUGAUUGCCGACACGAGAUACACGCCCACAUUGACGAGCAGCAGAGAUUUGUGACAGGAACAAACACUUCCCCAUCUGCCCCGGCAGGCUGGAACGAGGCAGAGCAAGCUAGCAACCAACAUGGGCGGCUUCACGCCGCGGGCUGCCGCCUCGCUUCUCCUCCUGCUUCUCCUCCGCUCGCCGUCGCCGUCGGAGCCCGUGGCCGCCGCCGCCGCCGCCCUCCGCGCCCGGCGCUACGACUCCAUCUUCGGCUUCGGCGACUCCUUCACCGACACCGGCAACAACCCCGUCGUCUUCGCGUGGUACUCCGUCCCCAACCCCGUCACGCGCCCGCCCUACGGCUCCACCUUCUUCGGCCACCCCACCGGACGCAACUGCGACGGCCGCCUCAUCAUCGACUUCAUCGGUGCGUGCGACGUCAUGCUGCUGUCAUCACCUUGUACUUUGCUCGUCCUUGGUAGCCUCGAUUCGACGUCGCCCCUUCUGUGGUCGCAGCGGAGGGCCUGGGCCUGCCUCUCGUGCCGCCAUUCCUGGCGCACGACGGGAGCUUCCGCCGCGGCGCCAACUUCGCGGUCGGGGCCGCCACCGCCAUCGACGCUGCCUUCUUCCACGACGGCGAGCCCCCGGGCACCGACAACAAGUUCCCUUUCAACACCAGCUUAGGCGUGCAGCUGCAGUGGUUCGAGUCACUCAAGCCCUCCCUCUGCGCCACAACCCAAGGUGCGUGAAGGUCGCAUUAUUGGUGAGCGGUCGAUCCAUACAGUAAAUUGAAUGAUCUGCUGCGUGCAGAGUGCAAGGAUUUCUUCGGCAGAUCGCUCUUCUUCCUUGGAGAGCUCGGGUUCAACGACUACAGCUUCUCGAUGAACAAGGGGAAGAAUGUUCAACAGCUCAGAUCCUUGGUGCCACACGUCAUCAGGACCAUCUCCAUGGCCAUUGAGGUGAUAUCUCAAUCACUCCAUGUAGCCAGUAAUUAACCUGCAAGGGAAAUUAAAUCGUGGUAAAUAAUUGUUAGCAGAGGUUGAUCCAAGCACGGGGCUCCAUGUAGCCAGUAAUUGACCUGCAAGGGAAAUUAAAUCGUGGUAAAUAAUUGUUAGCAGAGGUUGAUCAAGCACGGGGCCACAAGUUUGCUGGUCUCCGGGAUGGUUCCGGCGGGAUGCGACCCGCCGAUUCUCACCUUCUUCCCCAGUGCCGACCCAGCAAGCUACGAGCCCCGGACAGGCUGCCUGAAAGGGAUGAACGAGCUGUCCACCUAUCACAACUCAAUGUUGCAGGAGUCCCUAGACAAGAUCCGUUCCAAGCACCUUGACGUCGAGAUCGGUUACGCCGAUUUCUUCAGCCCCGUAAUGGAGAUGGUGAAAUCGCCGGCCAAAUUUGGUCAGUACUCAUCACUACUUACUCAGUGCUAGCACACUGCAAAUUUCCUAGAGCUGCUGCAAUGUGCAUGAAUGCAUGGCUGUUAAGUUGCUGAGAGAUGUGAUUUGAGCUUGGUGACUCAUCGAAUGUUGUUGCAGGGUUUGAAGAGGACGCUCUGACCGUCUGCUGUGGAGGCCCGGGAAGGUACCACUUCAGUGGAGUGGUCGUCUGCGGCGAUCCAGGCUCGACCACAUGCAAGGACCCAUCUGCUCGUCUGUUCUGGGAUGGCGCCCACUUGACGGAGGCGGCCAACCGCUACAUCGCCGACGGCUGGCUCCGCAGCAUCAGCUCUCCUGCAACUGCUACCAACUAAUUGUGUGUGUGAGUUACUUCUUAAUACAAAGGUGCACAGCUCUCCUGCGUAUUUCCAAAAAACUAAUUGUGUGCGAGACCUCAGGAUUUGUCGACUUUAGUCUCGGGUUCAUGCUGAAGCCGGGUUCGAUCAAUUUGGGACCAGAAUGGCUGCCCCAGCUCAGUUAAAUAUAUUCAAUUUGUACAUCCCACACCCUAAGUAAAAUAUUAGCUUAAUUUACUUCCUCCUCCUUUUGAUACUAGCUUAAUAUACCAUCUGAACUGUUUUUUAUCAUGAUUUGCCAGCGUGGUAUCAUUUUGACUGAGUCGAUUCACGUUUAAUCUGUUUUUUUUCUUUUCAAAACGAGGCUCACUCCAUUUCCAUUUAUAGAACGAAAAUUCCACAAGUCUGGUGCACAGAGGGGAGACUUAAGAGGAACUUAGUCUAUGUAACCUGAUUCAGGGAGAUAAACUAGAGAAACGUUUCCACCUUCAGGGUUCCUAGAGGUACACCUACCGCAUGAAAGGAGUUGCAUGACUGACAGACUCCCACAUCAACAUUACUUCUACCCAACAGCAGGGGAAACAACGAUACUUCUCGCACAAAUCCAAAACUACAAAAGGAAUCGUAGCGGUUGUUAAUGCUCCAACCUGCAAGCAUAGCGAUGGUGCCAAGUUGCGUUUGGGUUGGCUCGGAACGGGUGCAGCCGUGCAGCAGCGGCGAUUGAUGAGGCAUACGCAGAAAUAACACCAUGUGGCACGCAAGCGACAGUGAGAAAAUAAGCGAAACGUCAAUGGUGACUUCGUCAAUCUCGAGAAUUUGUAGGCUCAAUCUCUCUGACAUACUCAUAGGUACAGAGUUGCGUACAUGUGUUUGUAGGGUUAAAUGUGCAUGCAUAUAUGUGAGUGUGUGUGAUGUGUGAUUCAGAAAAAAAAAAUAUAGUCUCGGGAAACACAUGUUGACAACGCAAGAUAGUAUUUUGAAAUCUGGGCCAUGUUUAGUUUCCCCCAACUCUCAACUUUGGCACUAUGCAAAAAGAAGAUUCCCCAUCACAUCAAACUUGCGGUGCAUGCAUGGAGUACUAAAUGUAGACGAAAUUAAAAACUAAUUGCACAGUUUUGUUGUACUUUGCGAGACGAAUAUUUUGAGCCUAAUUAGUCAAUGUUUGGACAAUAAUUCACAAAUACAAACGAAACGCUACAGUGUGCUACAGUGCUGUAACAGUAAUUUAGCACCUCCCAACUUCAACAACUAAACAAGGCCCUGGUAACAAUGUAGCAGGAAAGUUUCGUAACGGUUGCCAUCUCUGUCCCACUCCCGAUUCAGGGGGUGUUUGGGAAACCCCUGUUAAAGUUUAACACCUGUCACAUCGGAUGUUUGGAUGCUAAUUAGGAGUACUAAACAUAAGCUAAUUACAAAACUAAUUGCACAGAUGGAGUAUAAUUCGCGAGACGAAUCUAUUAAUCCUAAUUAGUCCAUGAUUUGACGCAAAAUUUNNNNNNNNNNNNNNNNNNNNNNNNNNNNNNNNNNNNNNNNNNNNNNNNNNNNNNNNNNNNNNNNNNNNNNNNNNNNNNNNNNNNNNNNNNNNNNNNNNNNAAGCUUAAUGGAGUAGAUGCUGUUUUCUACCAAUACAGUGUAAUGGACAAUCCUGAAACUCUGUUCUUGCUUAUCUGUUUUACUUUUGGUUACAUCGUAGGUACAAUUCUUCAGCCUGUGUUACUUGCAUCAUAUGUUUUAUUCUGAAAUCGCUUUGGUUACAUAGUAGGUUACCAUCAUAUCUGAGGAUGAUAAGGUGGUUGAUGGUAAGGGUAUUGCCCGAAAGGUCAUUGAUAAACUGUUGCAAUCAUUCAGUUCUGAACUUGAUGGGAAGGAUUUUGCAUAUGAUACAGAGAAAUGUUUAUUUAUGAUGGAUUAAAUUAGGCUUAAUAAGAUUCGUCUCGCGAAUUAGCACAAGGUUCUGCAAUUAGUUUUAUAAUUAGCUCAUAUUUAGUCCUCCUAAUUAGCAUCCGAACAUCCGAUGUGACACUGUUAAAGUUUAGCACCUCAUAUCCAAACAGCCCCUCAGACUUGCCUCGUGUUUGAUCUUAUACGUCAUCGGCGAGAUCGCGAUGUAGCUGUUGAACGCCUGCGAUGCCGUGUCCACGCCUUUCGCCACUCGUUUGAAUAGACAAGCUCCCAAUCAUUAGACAAUCAUUGUUUCACUCGUUCAAAAAAAAAAAAUUCACUGUUUCACUAGAUGGUUGCCGACACACGAGCCACACGCCCACACCCCAGACCCCACACUGACGAGCAGCAGAGAUUUACGACAUCACCGUUCCUUGGGCAUCCAACUGUGUCGCAUCGGUGAAAGGAGCAGAAUAUGUCGUUUCGGUCCAAAAAAACACGAUGCCAAGGCUACUCGCUUGAGCCCCAUCGACAUGGCUGCCGGCGCGGGUGGAGCAGAUCCCCGAGGAAGGCCCCUCCACCGCCGCUCCCCUCAUCCCAUCCCUUUGUAGCAGCCAAGCUGGCCCCGGCGUGGUGGUCGACGGCACUGAUGUGGAUUUGAAAAGAUUGUUCUCAAUUUGAUAACAGAUCACUGAUGUUGCCAGUUUGAUAAUCACGAAAUUCAGUAUGGCAAUUUAGGAGCUUCCUCUUGUCUUGCAGUGGAGCACGCUUGGCAGCAGUGGCCACCGGCAGCCGGCGAUCGGCGGCCGGCAGCAAUGGCGAUGGGGCGAGCGGUCUACAAAUGGGCCAAACCGCCCAACCGAGUAGCUUUCACCGAUGCUGCCGUUGGAUGCCCAAGGAGCGGUGAUGCGGCGGCAGUGCACACAUGAGCACCGGCACCGGCGACCAAGAACUAAAAUUUGGUUUCGAGCUUUGCACGUGGCUAGCGAGGCGAAUAUAAAAUGUGGCAGGUGCUGUUCGCUAGUGGAUCCGAUGGGGUUUUCAGCGUCCGGCCCCAAAAUCUGCGAAAAUGGAUGGCUGCUGAAACGUCCAGUAUUCCAAGCGCGUGGUUGGUUUGGUGUCCCAUUCCAUCUCUGCAUUUGCCGCCCGUCACGGCCCGACGGAAGAGUAGGGCGAGAGAGACAUGGGCAAGCUCUCGCCGCCGCGUGCCAUCUCGCUCCUCCUCCUCGUAUUCACGUCGACGGGGGCCGGGGGCCGUGACGACGGCCACCGCGACCGCUCCCCACGUCCGGGUCCGGCGCCGCUACGACUCCAUCUUCAGCCUGGGCGACUCGUACGCGGACACCGGCAACGGCCCCGUCGUCUUGGACCGGCACGCCAUCGACAACCCCGUGAUGCGGCCGCCCUACGGCUCCAAUUUCUUCGGCCGCCCCACCGGCCGAUACUGCGACGGCCGCCUCGCCAUCGACUUCAUCGGUGCGCGGCCGGCGUGCUCUGCUGCUCCCAUCUCUUGCCCAAUACAACGUGCUGCCGUCGAUCCGAUCCACUAGCUGACCGAUCACUCUGGCUCUGUGCUCAAUUCCUCGCAGCUGAGAGCCUGGGCCUGCCGUUGGUCCCGCCAUUCCUGGCGCGCAACGGGAGCUUCCGAGCCGGCGCCAACUUCGCCGUCGCGGGCGCCACCGCCCUCGACUCGAGCUUCUUCCGCGACGGCGAGCUCCACGCCUCCGGCACCGCCGCCCACUCCGCUUUCAACACCAGCUUGAACGUGCAGCUGCAGUGGUUCGAGUCGCUGAAGCCAUCACUCUGUGCCACGGGACAAGGUCAGUCAACUCAUAUAUGCCUAGCUAGCUGCUGAAUUCUUGUUGCUAAUGAUGCAUCAUCCGGGCGCGCGGCAUACCGUUAGAGUGCAGAGAAUUCUUUGGUAGGUCGCUCUUCUUCGUCGGCAAAUUCGGGUUCAAUGACUACACCAUCUUGUUGUUGUACAAGGGGAAGAGCGUUCCACAGGUCAGGUCGUUCGUCCAAGAUGUCGUCAGGACCAUAUCCAUGGCCAUUGAGGUAGGUAAUCAUGGACCUAGCAACCUGCAAGGGAUCGGAGCAGCCAACAUUACUUUGGAUUAGUAAUAGAUGAAACUAAAUAAAGUUACUGAAUUUCUAAUGACGAGUCGGUGACAGAGGCUGAUCAAGCAUGGGGCGACCAAUUUGGAUUAGUAAUAGAUGCACGCCGCCGGUGCUCGCCGUAUUUGACGCCAACUCCGACCAGGCACGCUACAACCCCCAGACAGGGUGUCUGGAUGAGGUCAACGAGCUAACCAUCCAUCACAACUCGUUGUUGCUGGAGUCGAUAGAGAAGAUCCAGGCCAAGUACCCGGAGGUGGAGAUCAUCUACGCCGACUUCUUCAGCCCCGUCAUGGAGAUGGUGGAGUCGCCUGGAAAGUUUGGUCAGUACCCGCGUGCGGAACCUGCAUUGCAAUUCAUGGUCUGAUUGUUGUGACAGAAAAGUGAUGGAGCUUGGUGAUUGCAGGGUUUGAAAGAGACGUUCUCACAGUUUGCUGUGGAGGGCCUGGGAGGUACCACUUCAGACAGGCGAUCUUGUGCGGCGAACCAGGCGCGACCAAAUGUGAGGAUCCAUCUGCUCGUUUGUUCUGGGAUGGUGCUCACUUGACGGAGGCGGCUAACCGGUACGUCGCCGAUGAGUGGUUCAGCAGCAUAAACCAGCCUGCAAGGGCUAGACUGCUAGCAGUUAGUAAUUAAGGUGCUGCAAGAAAGACUGUAAUGUUACUACUGUAGCCAAAAGUACAUAUACAAGUGAAGUACGAGGUUGAUCGCCGAUAGAGGUACUGUUGUUACAGAAGAUGAUAUGUUCAGAUGAAUAAUGUGAAGCAAUACGAUCUGGUUGCCUAAGCUCGACAGCCUAGUGAAUGCACAUGCAUGCUCUGUUCAGGGUCACAAAGCAGUUAAAUAACCUGGUUCACUCUUUUGAGGCGCUUCCGGAAAGCAGUCUGGCUCGCCACCGAGCGCGCUCUGGCAUGGAGUCAUUUCGUCGAACAUCUUGGCUUCGUCCACCCAAUCAGCCUGUACCGAUUCCCCAUCCCGUCAGGCGUUGAGGCGACGGAAUUGGUAGCACCAGCGGGCGGGAGGUGGCUAUGCUUCCUGCGGGGUGCGGAGACGGUGAGGGGAUUGGCCGAUUGGGAGGAAAUUUGGAUGAGAGAUGGGUUGGGCCGUCUGUUUCAUAUGUACGAGCUCGGAGUAUAUUUGGGCCGAAGGCCUUGCUUCAAACAAAAGGUUUCUUUUCUGAUUCUUUUCUUCUUCUUCUUCUUUUCGAACGUACUAAAUCCUUUUUCCCCAAUGGUUUCUUUUCUGAUUCAAAAAUGAACUAAAGGGAUUCAUACAAAAUUCUCGUGAAAUAGACACUAUUCCAAAUGAAACUCUAUUGGUUUGAAAUGCAUACCCCCGUGGCAAGCACAAGAACUCGAAGAUGAUUUUUAUUUUUUUUAUGGAAAUGAUUCUUUAUUUUUGAAAAAGAAAGGCUUCUCCAUCACAAACAUUUGCCUCAAGCCCUCAACUUUCCAUGCGAUUGUCACAAAUCUAAAUCUGGUUUACUCACAGCAAGAAGCCAAGGAGCAUCACUGCGUCCAUGAACUAACCGCCUUACACGUAGUCAUCUUUCAUGGGUCUCUAUCACGGAGGUUGAAAGCUAGUGUCAUAUGCUACUCCUCACAUUCAUGCCCUAACUUUAUGCUUUCGGUUGCUGCUUUCACCGCUCGUUAGCACGAGGACUCCACGGUUGCAGUUGCGGCCGUCGUCCUGUUGGUACCCCCGCCAUCACUUCCCGGCGACUUUAUCCUGUUCAGCCAGCCGGCGGCGAUGUACCGGUAGGCCGCCUCCGUCAGGUGGACGCCGUCCCAGAACAAGCGAGCAGACGGGUCCCUGCACUUGACCGCGCCUCGAUCGCCGCAGAAAACCUGCUUGUUGUAGUUGAACCUCCCCGGCCCUCCACAGCAGAGCGUAAGAACAUCUCCUUCAAACCCUGCAACCACCAAAUAACUUGCAUGAUUCCCAUCACCAUUUCGAUUUCUCCAACCGCACAAGGGCAAGAGUCACGUCAAGUCGUCAAUACAAGUUCCAGUGCAUUCAGCAAGAAACGAGCAGUACUGACCGAAUUUAGCAGGAGACGUGACCAUGUCGAUGACGGGCCCGAAGAAGUCGGCGUAGAUGAUGGUGACGCCGGCCGGCCGGUGCUUGUCCCGGAGCUCGCGCAGGGCCUCCUGGAGCAGCGCGUUGUGGCGGGCGGCGAUGCCGUUGAUCGCUUUGAGGCAGCCUGUCCGGGCGUCGUAGGCCGCCGGGUCUGGGUCGGCGAACGUGACGAGCACCGGCGGCGCGCAUCCCACCGGGAUCACGCCGGGAACCACCAGCGUCGUCGCCCCGUGAUGGAUUAUCAGCCUCUGUUACGCGCCCAGCAGUCAGCAGAGCAGGUCACCGCCGUUAAUUAGUUAGCGUUGUUUGGUUUGAUCCGACUCUUAUCAAUGCUGAUCAUACUUCUCGUUGGCGUUCUUGCAGUUAGCGAUGUGCGUACCUCGACGGCCAUGGAGAUGGUCCCCACGACGUCCGGGACGAACGAUCUGACCUCGUCGACGCUCUUCGCGGCCAAGGAGAGGAGGUAGUCGUUGGCCCCGAACGGGCCGACGAAGAAGAGCGAUCUGCCGAACAACUCCUUGCAACCUGUGCACGCAUUAAUUCGACGAAUUCGUCAGAAAUUCUGCCGGCAGUUCCUUCCUACGCAUUAAAGAGAUCGAGUCGAUAUGAUCAGUGAAGAACGUCGUACCUUUGGGUGUGGCGCAGAGCGAGGGCUUGAGCGACUCGAACCACUGCAGCUGCACGCCUAGGCUGGUGUUGAGCGGGAACACGCUGCCGCCGGGUGGAUCCCAGCGGUGGAAGAAGGUGGUGUCGAUGGCGGGGGCGCCGCCGACGGCGAAGUUGGCGCCGCGGCGGAAGCUGGUGGCGGAUCCAUUGCGCGCCAGGAAAGGCGGGACGAGCGGCAGGCCCAGGCUCUCGGCUGCGGGCAAGCAGAACGAUCAGCUGUUUGAUGUACAAGUACAGCAACACAUUGGGCGAGAUCGAGGUAGCAGGGCACGGCGCGCACCGAGGAAGUCGAUGGCAAGGCGGCCGUCGCAGUUGCGUCCAGUGGGGCGGCCGAAGAAGGUGGAGCCGUAGGGCGGCCGCAUGACGGGGUUGGCGAUGGCAUGCCAGCCGAAGACGACGGGGCCGUUGCCCGUGUCCGCGUACGAGUCGCCCAGGCUGAAGAUGGCGUCGUAGCGGCGCCGGACGUGGGGAGCGGUAGCGGUGGCCGCCGUCACGGCCCCCGUCGACGUGAACAGGACGGCGACGAGGACGAGGAGCGAGACGGCACGCGGCGGCGGCGGCGAGAGCGUGCCCAUGUCGCUCUCGCUCUGCUCUUCCGGCUGGCCGCGACGGGCGGGGCGCCGGGGUGGGCGCGCGACGCGCAAUGCAGAGAUGGAAAUGGACAAUGGAUGUGUUAGGCACUCCUGUUUCAGCCAUCCGUUUCGGAAGAUUUUUUUGCCCUGCCCGUUUUGGCAACGACCUCCCUGACGGAGAGAGCAAUCAUCAGUGGACGUCCCUAUCAGGCUGCCCUGUCCGUCUUGUCACGGUGCAGCAUCCACAUCUCCCUCUCUGGGUGGGAGCACUGGCAGGCUGGCAGCCUGGAGAGGUUCACGCGAGGAUGCACCGAUCGAGUCAGUGUUGCCAACAAGUGAAAGCAUUGCCAUGAAUGACCGAUCGAUGCCAUUGCCUGGACGCCAUUACAGGGGAUCUGUCUGGACGCGAUCAACCCGUGUUGAGCCGUUUCAUCGAGCACCUUGCUUUCGUUCAGCCGGCCGGACAUGGCAUUCAGGCAUUGGCAUUGGGUGGUUGGUUACAUUGCCUGGGCGCUAUCGCAUUCGACGGGUCCCCGGAUGAGACAUGGGUUGGGCCGUGUGCUUCGUAUGCGGCCUAGAACCCUAAGAGGCCUGGGCCUAGUGGGCCGUGUUUGAAACAUUCCCAGCACAAAAUUCCAAAUUUUUGUGAUGCUCCCCCAUUCCACUACAUCUACUGCACUGCCCAGCAAGACAGCUACUAGUCCGAAGAUCUUAAAAUAAGUUCUCGGAUUCUGUACGGUCAGGCACUGAGUUAGGGCCUGUUUGGGACUGCUCCGCUCCAAAAAAAAAAUAGCUUCGCUCCAGCUUCAUCUUGCCAAACACCUCCAGCUCCAACUAUACCAACUUCAAAAAAAAUGUGGAUCUGGGGGGCAACUCCAAGAUUUUCCUGGAGCUCCUCAAAGGGUGCUCUCAAAAAACAACUUUUAUAACUCCUCUUGGAGUUGGGUAGAAAUUACCCACCAAUGCCACCCUUUACACGGUACCGUUCCGAAAGAAAAAAAUGACCGACGCUUUUUUUCCGCGAGAUCGGCCGACUCCUCUGUUCCGCGACUCGGCGGACGGCGCCCAUACAGCUUCCUUCCGCCCGCCCGCCGCCGCCCGUACAGCUUCCGCCCGCCCAUCGUCGGCGAUUCCGCCGCCGCCCUCACGCCUGACUCGGCGCCACCGCCUAGUACUCCUCCUCCGUCGCCGGCAUCUGGCCUCCAGCGCCCGUUCCACCUGUCGCCGCCCAUGGCCGACGGUGCGGAACCCGUGGCCGUCGAGGAGUUGGAGGCGACCGGCGCCCUGGCCGGCGGCCUGGUUGGGGCCGGGCGUGGCCUCACAGGGGGCGGCCGUGGCUUGUCCGAUGUCGACUCCCCGGAUUGCCUCGCUCGUGAAGAAGACACUGACUUGGCCGGAGGUUUAGCCGGCGCCGGCGGCGGCCCUGUGCUGGGGGCGGGCGGCCGUGGGUUGGGCGCGGCUGGCCCUGUGCUGGGGGCGCGCGGCCGUGGCCUGGGCGCCGCCGGCCUGGAAAAAACCGGCCGUGGCCUGGGCGCCGCCGGCCUGGAAAAAAUCGGCCGUGGCCUGGGCGCCGCCGGCCGUGGCUUGGCUUGGUCGGUGGCGCCCGUGCCCAUGCCGGCAAUAGGACGAUGAUGGCCGAUGAUGAGGCUGACUUCGAUGAGUUCGUGCCUGUCGGCCAGGCCGGGUUCGGUCGUGGCUUGGGCGCGGCCGGCCGUAGUUUGGCGGUGGGCGGCCGUGGCUUGGUCGGUGGCGCCCGUGCCCAUAUCGCAGCAAGCAGCGCCUGGCCGACGAUGAGGCUGACUUGGAAGAGGUUGUUCUUGGUGCCGAAGAUGCAAGUGUCGGCCAUGGCCGUGGGAAGAAGCGGCCAGGAAGAGGUCGGGGCCAAGGACAGAGCAAGAAGCCCUCUAGGGCAGCGAAGAAGAAUGACGAAGAGGAGGUAUGUGAAUUGUCCUUGGUGUACGUUUCAUAUACGUUGAUACAUUUGCUUGGUAUUGAAUGGAUGGAACAACAGUAACAAAAAUAUUAUGUUAGUAGUAGUAGGAAACUGAUGCAAGCAUCCUGCUCAAGUGGUAGUUCAGCUGCAGGUGGUUCAUUUGGUGUCGUUUGUCAUGUUAGUAAAGUAUAGAAUGUGGAUGCUGCAAGAUACAUAUAUGCUUAAUUAGUACACAACCUGUGAGCUAAAUAGUCUUUAUUAGAAAAGACGUUCUGACCUUGAGUUUGGAAUUAACCACAAGACAUUGUUAUGGGAAUGUUCUGACGUUGAACAUGGUCAGGGAGAUAUGAUGGACUGGACCGAUGCAUACACAUCGAUUGUUUGUAACUUAUUUGCAGAACAAGUUAAGAAAGGCAAUAGACCAAAUACACAUUUGAACUUUGUAGGCUAUACAGAAGUGUCAAAUAGGUUUUAUCAGAUGACAGGAAUUUAUCUUAGCAAGAUGCAAUUGAAAAACAAGUGGGAUAAGUUGAAGACAAAAUUAUCAGCAUGGAAUAGAUUAAUGAAGAGGCAAACAGGAACAGGUUGGGAUAGAACAAAGGGUGUGAUUGACAUGGACGAUGAGUGGUGGAGGAAGGCAAGGAAGGUGAGGAUGUAAUUUUUUAAAUUUUUUAAUGAAUCAUUCAUACUCGUUACUCACUCAUAACUAACACUAUUUUCUUAUCUUAUUUUUCACUACAGGAUAUCCCAGGAUGCGGCGGGUUCAGGACAAAACCUCUGCAAAAUAUGGAUGAUUUGACCGUUAUGUUUGGUGACAUCAUUAAUGAUGAAACAGAUCAUUGGAACCCUAUGACUUCCAACCCUAUCAUACCCCAAAAUGAUGAGACUCCUAUUGAAGUAGACCUUGAUGUUGGUGAGAACCUUGAUGGUGGUGGGGAUGAUAUUCAUGUGUACCCAACAGAAGAAGAUAAUGGAGGUGUUGCUGUGAAUGACAUUGAGGAGGUAUCUCCAUCCAUUGGCAAUGCAAAAAGAAGAUCGAGGGUUGUCAUAGACAAAGGAAAGAAAGCAAAAACAGGAACCGCACUUGUGAUUCAAGAAAAAUUGAAUGAGAUAGCUGAACAAGCCAAGGCUUUCACAUCAAGAAAGGUUGGCGAAGUUACUGUUGAACAAGUAAUGGAUCUUGUUUUGGAUUGUGGAGCGGGGUAUGGUACCGAUGAGCAUUUUAUUGCUACUGAGUUGUUUGUGAAGAAAGAUCAAAGGGACAUGUUCAUGACACUUCCAACUAAGGACAUUAGAUUCGGUUGGCUUACGAGGAAGUUCAACGCCAAAUACGGGAACUGAAGAUCACCAUUUGUUUUUUUCAAUUAUGUGGACACCAUUUUUAUGUUUAUUUAUUAAUGUCACUUGAACUUUGUCAUCAUUGAACCUUUUGUAUUAAUGUCACUUGAACAAUGGUGUAUUCAUGUUAUUUUGUUUCAUGUCAAAUUGCAGGUGUCCGAGAGUGAGAGUGAUAGUAGUGAGGAGAGUGCGCAGUUUUGGAGUUUAGUUCUUGGUGGUGCUCAAGUAGCUCAAAUUUAUGUCGAUCUUUAUCUAGAUAAAAAGCCACCAAGAAUAUCAAACCUUAGUAGCAUGGGAUGGUUGAUGGAGACAAUAAGGAAUGCAGGAGAAUGCCAUAGACAACUUCGUAUGAAUGAGAAAAUACUUAUGGAUCUUCAUGAUUUAUUGGUGGGAAGGUAUGGGCUAAAACCUUCGAUGCAUAUGAACACGCUUGAGAUGUUGGCCAUCUUAUUAUACACUUUGGGUGGAAAUGAGUCAAAUAGGAGAGCUCAAAAUAGAUUCAACCACUCUGGUGAAACUAUAAGUAGGAAAUUUGAUGAGGUCUUAUUAUGUUUGAUUGCUGUGGCAAAGGAUUUCAUUAGACCAAAGAAUCAAAACUUCCCUACUGUCCAUAAAAGGAUAAGAGAUGACAGACGUGCAUAUCCACACUUUAAAGAUUGCAUAGGUGCUCUUGAUGGUACUCAUAUUCGUGUCGCUCUGUCACCUGAGGAGAUGGUAAGAUAUAUUGGGAAAACCGGAACGACAACACAAAAUGUUCUAGUUGUUUGUGAUUUCGACAUGCGUUUCACUUAUGUAUCCACGGGUCAACCCGGAGCUAUGCAUGACACAAGUGUGCUGUACAAUGCAAUUAGAGUGGACGAAGAAUUCUUCCCACAUCCUCCACAAGGUAACAUCGCCUUUAUAUGAUUUAUGUUUUACUUGUCCUAGUGCUGAACAAAUAAUAACUUAUAUUAUCUUCUCAUUUUGCAGGCAAAUACUAUGUUGUUGAUGCGGGUUAUCCUAAUCGCCCUAGGUAUCUAGCUCCGUACAAGGGUGAAAGGUAUCAUUUACCCGAAUGGCAUAGGGGUAUGGAACCAAAGACUCCCGCGGAAAGGUUCAAUCGUGUUCACUCAUCUAUUCGCAAUGUUAUUGAGAGAUCGUUUGGAUUAUUAAAAAUGAAGUGGCAAAUUCUCGACAAGAUGCCACCGUACCCUAUGUACAAGCAAAAGAUGAUUGUUGUGGCUACUAUGGUCCUUCACAAUUAUAUCCGUGAACAUGGAGGUGAAGACAUUGACUUUGAUCGGUUUGAUCGUGAUCCUAAUUACAUACCUACUAUCCCGGAAAGGUAUAACAAAUAUGCAGUUUCUCCCUUGGCAUCGGACGGGUCUACUUCGAAUGCCAAUGCUCCAACUAUGGAUGUAUUUCGUGAUGAGUUGGCCACCGCUCUUUCUCUUGCUUGGAACUAGUUAAUAUUGGUGUGGUUAAUUUUGUAAUUUCAUUUGAUGUCACAUGAAACAAAUUUUAAUUUUUAUUGGAACAAGUAAUGGAUCUGUUAUCUAGUACGAAAAUUUUCCAUGUGAAAAAAGAAACAUGAGCAGUGCAUGAACGGCACAGUAACCUCAUGGGUACUGUAGCGCGGUACUGUAGCAUGGUACUGUAGCGCAGAACUGUAGCAUAGAGCAAAACCUUUGGGCAAAAACGACUAUUCCCACUUGUUCCUAUAAUUUUUGGAGCUGAAUUUGGAUCCGGUAGCCAAACAGGUACCUAGCUCCCUAUUUUUCUGGAGUUGGUGGAGUGGAUCUGACAAAAGGUGGAGUUGGUGGAGUGGAGCUAUUUUUUUUGGAGCGGAGUAGUCCCAAACAGGCCCUUACCCAGAGUGUCUUACCACGUGUUUAAGAUGCAGAACAUGCUAUACCACUCAACAGUCCAAGAAACUAAGAACAUGCCACUGUCAACAGUAAAUUGCACAACGAGAAUAUAAGGCAUCGAGGAGUUGAGAGUUGUUGGUGCUUUUUCUGAUCAACACACCGAAUUGUGUUAGAUCGCACGGUGGAACUUCACCUCGCAAGGCUCCUGUCUCUGGUUGGUCAGACCGGUCAGGGAAGCCGGUCAGAUUGGUUUGCACAGGGGCAACAUAAAAAUCUAAAAUCACCGUCCCGGAAGGGACCCUGUCAGGGAUAGAUGCGCCUAGGGUUGCUCUGAAAUCAGCAGGCCACUCAGAACCUCCUUAGCCGCUAUGGAGACAAAAGAGGAAAGCAAAAGGGUGGAAAAAAUUAGGGUUUGGAGAUAAAAAUAAAGUAAAUAUUUUGAUUGAUUGGGUGUUAGCGUUAAUCGGGAGGUUUUCUUCCACACGGAAAUCCUUUUACAAAUCUUAAUCUAUAAGGAUUUCUCAGAUCUACUCGGAGUCUCGGACUAGGAUUGAACCGGUUAGACCACCUAGCUAAACCGGUCAGACUGGUUAGUCUUACCAGACUGGCUACAAGACACAGGACGGUCAGACCGCCUGGAGGAACCGAUCUAACCGGUUAGUCUCAGCCUGAUCGUUUUGCUGCCAAUUUCGAGCUCAACAAGAGUAAUACACGUCCCACCUCUGUUUUACCAACUGAUGACAGAGUUUACGUAAAUGCAUUCAGAGAACCUUAAACAAGCGUAGAGUGAACACAAUUUCUAUACGCCAAAUGUGUCCCACGGAGUUCAGAAAUACAAAGAAGAAAAUGUUCACAUUGGACUAAUACGAAAUGUUCAAAUCUUCAGAGAUGGAAUCCUCCAUGCCAACAUAAUUUUGCAGUGACCUGGGAACCGGAGGGACCUCGACAUCCAUGACACCCUCUAGCAUGCGAACAACUUGCCCCAUCAUUGGCCUGUGGUUUUCAGCAUCCUGAAUGCACCAGCAGGCAACUCUACAGGUUCUGUUCAGCUGCUCCACUUCAGCGUUGCCCUGCAGACUACUGUCCAACAGGCACAUAACAUCACCUUCAUUCACCUUAACUGCAGCAUAUAUUGGAAAGUAAGUAAACUUUCCUUCCUUAAUCUUCUCCGAAUUUCUUCGCCCUG
rnacentral:lncRNA from 1 species